rnacentral:lncRNA from 1 species
UUUUUUUUUUUUUUUAUGUUUUGGAAAAUAUAGUCUCAGGAAGUUUGCACAGUUUAAUCAUAUGGAGAAGAUUUAAUGGGGGGCCGUUGGAGAGCAUUUUUAUCGGGAUAGUGCAUGGACGGUCUGAUCCGACAUAUGAGCGUGGUUUGAUGAUGUUCCUCUAAGAUGUCCCUAUAAACCAUGGUCGGAAAAAAGUACCAGAAUAUGCAUCAUUUUGGUCACCGGCCUGUGGUGUGCUUUCUGUUGGAAUUUUGCUAGUAGGCCUUUGGCCCAAAGCCCAACUAAAAUUCUAAAAAAAAAUUGGCCCAUUCAUGCGCACAUGUGAAUGGAGUGAGUGAGGCUAAAGUUUAGUCCCAUCCCGAAAGUUGAGAGAGAGUUGCACCUCUUUAUAAGGUGAGCUCUACUACCACUUGUAUGAGCAUGAGAAGAGGAGAUCUACACGUGCGCUCCUCCUCCUCGCUCGCCUCGCCACGCCUCGUCACGACGCGGGUUGCGGGAUUGAGCUGAGAACAGAGCUAUGCACAUUGUCUAUAUUUUUGCUGCUCGGGAAAAAUUAACGAGACAUUAAUUAAUAAUUAACGGACGCGUUAAUUACUGAACCGUUUCCGGUUCUUUUGGAUCGUGACGACUCAGACGUGGGGUUUACUCCCACGACCCACCCGGCCCGUACUAUAUAGUCGGGCAGACGUCUACCCUAGCCGCCGCCGCUUCGUAUGGUUUCUCACCACCGUUCCAGAUCAUUGCGCCGCCGAGCAAGUCUUCUCCAUCCCUCCUUUCGGCGUGCACCGAGAGAAGGGACAGCAGGCCUCCAGAACCCCGCCUCUCGUGAUCAUGUACGAGAGAGGGGCGAUCAGGUUUUUGGGGCAGCGACGACUUCUUCCCCGACCUCGGCAACCUCAUCCUGGACGACAUGGGCGACAACGUCAACGCCGGCGGUGCUGCACCCGCUGCACGGUAUGUUAUUCUAUCCUUCUUGUUCGAGAUCGUGGUAAAAUUCAUGUUUCUAGUAUGUGCCCUAGAUGUGAUCUGUUCAUCUACUAUGCUAGUUCGCAUGAUUAGUUUCAUCUCUGCUAUUGCUGUCAUGAUCUAUUUCCUAUUUAUUCGGAUUAAAUCUCAUAGUAAUUUGCUCAUUUUUCCAACAAUCCAAAAACCUGAUUAUAGGCAAUUUACUCCGAGUGGUUUUGCUGCGCAUCUGAAGCCGCCCGCCUUUAAGGGGGCGCAAUAUAAGAGGUGGCGCACGAGAGCAGUCUACUGGUUUUAGACCAUGGGCUGACGCCACCAAGGGCAAGCCUGAGGGCGAUCUUAAUCCAGCACAACUGGAAGCUUUUGAGAAGAUCGAUACUCUCUUUAAAGGCGCUCUUCUGAGUGUUCUGGAUGAUUCCAUUUUGGAUUCGUAUGUGUCGUUUGAAAACGGCAAGGACACGUGGGCUGCGCUCAAGGCCAAGUUUGGUGCCUCAGACACCGGCAGCGAGUUGUACGUCAUGAAGCAAUUCUAUGACUACAAGAUGACUGAUGAGCGCUCUGUUGUACAGCAGGCUCAUGAGAUACAGUCGCUCGCAAAAGAACUUGAGUACUUCAGGUGUGUGUUGCCGGACAAAUUUGUUGCCGGAGGCAUCAUUGCCAAACUUCCACCUUCGUGGAACAAUUUUGCUACUUCCCUGAAACACAAGAGACAGGAGUUUUCUGUUGCGGAUCUCAUUGGUACUCUUGAUGUUGAAGAGAAGGCGAGAGCAAAGGACACACGUGCUCGAGUUGCUGAGGGGGCUUCUAGUGCCCACAUGGUACAGAAGAAGAACUCCCAGCCCAAUAAGUUCAAAAACAAUAAGAACAAAACUCAGGGCAAAGGAAAGUUUGAUACAAAGAACAAGCCAUCACAUUCUACCAACUUCAAGAAGAAUUCUCAUAAGAAGGGGAAGGGACUUUGCCAUGUCUGCGGUGAUCCUAAUCACUGGGCUCUGAAGUGUCCUAACCGCUUUGAGGAGCGCGAACAUGAGAAGAGCGGAAAGUCCGCUAAUGUUGUCAUUGGUGAUAUUGAUAUGAAGGAAUCAGGGUACAGUAUUUUACCUACCAUCCUUUCAGUAUUUCAAUCCCCUGAUUGGUUAAUUGACACUGAUGCCAAUGUACAUGUUUGUGCUGAUGCCUCCAUGUUUUCUUCUACCAGGCAACUAGGACUUCUCCCGUGCUGAUGGGGAACGGGUCACAUGCCAUCGUUCGAGGUGUUGGUACGGUCGAUCUAAAGUUUACUUCGAGACCGUGCGUCUGAAGAACGUUCAUUAUGUGCCGUCCAUCAAUAAAAAUCUCGUUAGCGGUUCCCGUUUAUGUCGAGAUGGUUUUAAGUUGGUUUUCGAAUCCAAUAAAGUUGUAAUUUCUAAGUAUGGACAAUUUGUUGGAAAAGGCUAUGAGAGCGGAGGCUUGUUCCGCCUGUCUUUAUCAGAUAUUUGCACUAAAGUUAUUAAUAAUGUUUGCCACAAAAAUGAGUCUGAUAUUUGGCAUUCACGACUUUGCCACAUUAACUUUGGUUGCAUGACGCGGCUAGCCAAUAUGAAUUUAAUUCCGAAAAUCUCUACUGUCAAAGGCUCUAAGUGCCAAGUAUGUGUGCAAGCUAAGCAACCUCGCAAGUCCCAUAAGACUGCAGAGGCAAGAGACUUGGCGCCACUUGAGCUUAUACAUUCUAAUCUUUGUGAGAUGAAUGGCGUGUUGACAAAAGGUGGAAAGAGAUACUUCAUGACGUUGAUUGAUAACUCCACUAGAUAUUGUUAUGUGUAUCUUCUGAAAUCAAAAGAUGAGGUUUUGACUUUCUUCAAAAACUAUAAAGCUGAGGCAGAGAACCAACUUGAUCGAAAAAUUAAAUGGCUUAGGUCCGAUCGUGGUGGAGAGUAUUUUUCCAAUGAAUUUGAUCUGUUUUGUGCGGAACAUGGUAUAAUUCAUGAGAGGACGCCUCCCUACUCACCCCAAUCAAAUGGGGUAGCCGAAAGAAAGAACCGAACUCUAACUGAUAUGGUUAACACCAUGUUAGACACUUCGGGUCUAUCCAAGGAAUGGUGAGGGGAGGCGCUAAUGACUGCUUGUCAUGUCCUAAACCGAGUUCCCACAAAGCAUAAGACCAUGACUCCUUUUGAGGAAUGGGAAAGGAAAAGGUUGAAACUCUCUUACCUACGUACUUGGGGUUGUUUGGCAAAAGUCAAUACACCAAUUCCCAAGAAGCGCAAGCUUGGACCAAAAACCGUGGAUUGUGUUCUUCUGGCUAUGCUUUUCAUAGCAUCGGCUAUAGAUUUUUGAUAAUAAAAUCUGAGGUAUUCGACAUGCAUGUUGGUACGAUUAUGCAGUCGAAUGAUGCAACUUUCUUUGAGGACAUAUAUCCUAUGAAGGAUAUGUUGAGUUCAUCAAAUCAGGAGAUACCUACUCCAUAUAGUGAGGAAUUCACUGUAAUUCCUGAACCCACCAUUGCGAUGGAACACUUUGAGAAUCCUGUUGAGGAUGACAAUGGAACUCCUGUGAGGAGUAAGAGACAGAGGACUGCAAAGUCCUUUGGUGAUGAUUUCAUUGUGUACCUCGUGGAUGACACACCCAGGACUAUUUCAGAAGCCUAUGCAUCUCCUGAUGCUGACUACUGGAAGGAAGCUGUACGUAGCGAGAUGGAUUCCAUCUUAGCUAACGGUACCUGGGAGAUCACUGACCGUCCUUAUGGGUGCAAACCUGUAGGAUGUAAGUGGGUGUUCAAGAAGAAGCUUAGACCUGAUGGUACGAUUGAAAAGUACAAGGCACGGCUUGUGGCCAAGCGUUAUACCCAGAAAGAAGGUGAAGACUUCUUUGAUACUUACUCACCCGUGGCUAGACUAACCACAAUUCGGGUGCUACUAUCACUGGCUGCCUCACAUGGUCUUCUCGUUCAUCAAAUGGACGUUAAGACAGCUUUCCUCAAUGGAGAGUUGAAGGAGGAAAUUUACAUGGAUCAGACAGAUGGUUUUGUAGUACCUGGUCAGGAAGGAAAGGUGUGCAAGUUAUUAAAGUCUUUAUAUGGCCUUAAACAAGCUCCUAAGGAGUGGCAUGAGAAGUUCGAAAGAACCUUAACUGCUGCCGGCUUUGUAGUAAACGAUGGUGACAAGUGCGUGUACUAUCGCUAUGGUGGGGGCGAAGGAGUUAUUCUUUGUCUCUAUGUCGACGACAUACUGAUCUUUGAAACCAAACUUGAUAUAAUCAAGGAGGUUAAGGAUUUCUUAUCUCGUUGUUUUGAGAUGAAGGAUCUAGGAGUAGCUGAUGUUAUUUUAAAUAUCAAGCUGUUGAGAGAUGAGAAUGGUGGGAUCACACUGCUUCAGUCUCACUAUGUGGAAAAGGUCUUGAGUCGUUUUGGGUAUAGCGACUGCACACCUUGUCCAACUCCAUAUGAUGCUAGUGUGUUGCUUCGAAAGAAUCGACGGAUUGCUAGAGAUCAACUGAGGUAUUCUCAGAUUAUUGGCUCGCUUAUGUAUUUGGCGAGUGCCACGAGGCCUGACAUCUCGUUUGCUGUUAGCAAGCUGAGUCGGGUUGUGUCAAAACCAGGAGAUGAUCAUUGGCAUGCUCUUGAGAGAGUUAUGCGCUAUUUGAAAGGCAUCGCGAGCUAUGGGAUUCACUACACUGGGUAUUCAAGGGUACUGGAGGGUUAUAGUGACUCAAACUGAAUAUCUGAUGCUGACUGAGAUUAAGGCCACAAGUGGUUAUAUUUUUACACUUGGUGGUGGCGCUGUUUCCUGUAAGUCUUGCAAGCAGACCAUCUUAACGAGGUCAACUAUGAAAGCAGAACUCACAGCUUUAGACACUGCCAUGUUGAAGCAGAGUGGCUUCGUGAACUCUUGAUGGACUUACCUAUGGUUGAAAAACCAAUACCCCCUAUCCUGGAUGAACUGUGAUAAUCAAACUGUGAUCAACAAGAUAAACAGUUCAAAGGACAAUAUGAAGUCCUCAAGACAUGUGAAGAGGAGACUAAAAUCUAUCAGAAAAUUGAGGAACUCCGGAGUUAUUACGUUGGAUUAUAUCCAAACGUCGAAAAACUUGGCAGAUCCCUUCACAAAGGGUCUAUCACGUAACGUGAUAGAUAAUGCAUCGAUGGAGAUGGGCUUGAGACCCACCGCAUGAGUUGUCCAUAGUGGUAACCCACUCUGUGUGAUCGGAGAUCCCGUGAAGUAAAAGUGGGAGACAAGCUGUUGGUCAGCUGAGAGGAGAGUAUCCCUAUAUUAACUAUCCCACUCCGUGAAGAUGUAAUACUCUCCUGAUCUGCAUGGCAGGUUAAUACUUAUCUUAAUGUGUUUCAAGUGGCUUAUUCGGGUAAGCAGAGAUGUUAUCCUGCAGAACAUCUUCUGAGGAACACACCUAUAUGAAUUUGACUGUUAACGUCGCAGUCUGUGAGAAUUGGGUGUUCUCUAAUAAAUUCAUGAAAAGGCCCUGGAGUAUGACGUAUACGCUCCACCCGCGGGGAAGCCUUGCGGCAGCCCAGUAUCAGUCAAGAAUUUGUGUUAAACUAGUCUCGCAGAAAACUUGUAGUUCAAGGCAUAGUCCACUAUUCAAGUUGUGAUCUAGUGUAGCAUAAAAUCUCUAAGUGGAAGUUCAACUUCACAGUCUCCACUAAGCAUCGGUAUAUAAACAAUGUUUUGGAACUAAAUGAUGAGAUGUGCCAACGAGACUUUGUGGGGGAUUGUUGGAAUUUUGCUAGUAGGCCUUUGGCCCAAAGCCCAACUAAAAUUCUGAAAUUCUCUUGGCCCAUUCAUGCACACAUGUGAGUAGAGUGAGUGAGGCUAAAUUUUAGUCCCACCCCGGAAAUUGAGAGAGAGUUGCACCUCUUUAUAAGAUGAGCUCUUCUACCACUUGUAUGAGCAUGAGAAGAGGAGACCUACUCGCUCGCCGCGCCGCGCCGCGUGAUUGAGCCGAGCCGAGGACAGAGCUAUGCACGUUGUCUAUAUUUUUGCUGCUCGGGACCCUAGCCGCCGCCGCUUCGUAUGGUUUCUCACCACCGUUCCAGAUCAUUGCGCCGCCGAGCAAGUCUUCUCCAUCCCUCCUUUCGGCGUGCACCGAGAGAAGGUACAACAGGCCUCCGGAACCCCGCCUCUCGUGAUCCUGUACGGGAGAGGGGCGAUCAGGUUUUUGGGGAGCGCACUCGCGCGACUGCUGGCAGCGACGACUUCGCAAACGACGACUUCUUCCCCGACCUCGGCAACCUCAUCCUCGACGACAUGGAUGACAACGUCAACGCCGGCGGUGCCGCUUCGUAUGGUUUCUCACCAUCGUUCCAGAUCAUUGCGCCGCCGAGCAAGUCUUCUCCAUCCCUCCUUUCGGCAUGCACCGAGAGAAGGGACAGCAAGCCUCCGGAACCCCGCCUUUCGUGAUCCUGUACGGGAGAGGGGCGAUCAGGUUUUUGGGGAGCGCACUCGCGCGACUGCUGGCAGCGACGACUUCGCAAACGACGACUUCUUCCCCGACCUCAGCAACCUCAUCCUUGACGACAUGGGCAACAACGUCAACACCGGCGGUGCUGCACCCGCUGCACCGUAUGUUAUUCUAUCCUUCUUGUUCGAGAUCGUGAUAGAAUUCAUGUUUCUAGUAUGUGCCCUAGAUGUGAUCUAUUCAUCUACUAUGCUAGUUCGCAUGAUUAGUUUAAUCUCUGCUAUUGCUGUCAUGAUCUAUUUCCUAUUUAUUCGGAUUAAAUCUCGUAGUAAUUUGCUCAUUUUUCCAACACUUUGCCCUUCCCCUCAUCAAGGCCGCCAUCUAUGUGGUCGUCGUGGCUGUCAGGCGGCACACCGACCCUCAUGUGGUCGCUCAUGGUGUGACCCUUGAGGAAUCAAGAUCCUUGGGUGCUCCCUGAUCUGGUGGUGUUGUGGUCAGUGAUGUGGUCGUUUGUGACUGUAUAGUCGUGCUCCUUUAGUGCUUCCAGAUGUGAGUGGUUGUGGGUGGCAGGUGUGGUGCCAUCGUCCCUGAUGUGGCAGUUCAAGGCCGUGCUUCGUGGGGAAUCCGACUCCUGUAAUUGCAAUCACGGGCGUAGGUUUUCUUCAGGUCGUUCCUAAUGUGUUUGAUGUGGUCAUUCAUGGUAGUGCUCCUUUGGGGCGCCCGUUCUAGGUUUUUCAUGCCGCCCCCAUUCUAUCCACGAUCCAGCUUGGUCGUCCUCGGCCAGAUCUAGUGGUUGUUCACUCGUUUUACCAGAUCUCUCGCGCAUUCUCCUCCCGUCGGAUCGUCUACGUCCAGUGGGAAACGUUGGUCGAAGUUUGCGUUCUGGUUGUUCGUCUCUUGGUCGUUGGUCGGUCAUGAUGGACUUCGUCCCUAAUGCUUGCAUGCACCCUCUUGCUGCCAUCUCAUUGAUGCCCGUUCCCAUAUGGCCCCGCCCCUAUGGCCUGGACGACGGCAGGUAUGGUGGUGUUGGGUUGAUGGUUUUGGUGUUUAGCGUUGUUGGUCCUAGGCUCAUGCAAGUGGUGAGGUCUCAAGGAUGGUGGCGGUCUCUUCCCUGCAGUAUCGUGCUUUAGUCGUUGUCAUAGUAGUUGUUUGUUGGGUCGUGUUGUACUGUUGUAGCUGGCUGUGUUUGGCUCUUGCAAAGGAUUUUUCUAGCUUUCAUGCCGUGUGUUGCUCUUGUCCUAGUCUAUGUUGUUUGGUCAUCUUCGAGUCGUCGAUUGUUUCACUAUCGGUUGAUAAUCCUUAGCUUGUUUAGGUCUAGUUUUGGUCAGUGUCAUUUGUAUGGUUUGUGCCUAUCUUUGAUGUUUUAUCUUACUCUAUCAUAAUGAAUUCACAUGCAUCUCUUCACGAUGGUUCCAAAAAAAGAGGAAACUACCAGAACCAGACGUCCCUUUUACUUGCUUUCAUUUACCCCUUGCAUAUAUGGUUAUGAGAACAAAUAAGUAGCCAGAGAUACACUUGGGGAUGACCUCCUACUCACGACCAGCAUGAUUUGUUCUCUGAGGCGUACAUUUCCUGUUUUUGACGCUACGCAACAAGUUUUGCAUAGUGAACAUCUAGACGAUGGAACACCGCUACGCCCAGGGAGCAGUUUUCAUUGCUUUCAUGACGCAUCCUAUUCCGCAAGUUAAGCUUCUAAGGCAUUUUUCCUUCUUCGCUAAUUAGGACCCUUCAAGCCAGUGAGUGGUAGCAGCAGAAGAAUAUGCAUGUGGUUGGGCGUUCUCCUACUUUGUGUGGGAAUGGAUGGGGCGAUACAUAUAUAGGAAGGAAGACUUCGUAGAUCCCCUACUCUGUCUAUAAAUGUCAGGCUGGCCACACGAUGUAUCGACCUCAUGUGUACUUCUUCUGUCCAUCUGAACUCCAAACUAACGUUUGCCCAUUCAAAUCUAUAUUAAUCAGAUGCUAGCACAAUUAAUGAACAAGACCACACUGAACAGCAAGCAGCAGCUGGAUUAUGUUUCACGCUUAUACUGCAUCAUAAUGCCUUUUUUCCCUUGUGCUGCAUCGUACUGUUGAGCAAAUCCACAAGUGUCACUCCCAUGGGAUGGCCCAAACCAUACAUGAAGGGAGCGUUCUUGUCGGUUAGCUGUUUUCUUCCGGGUUGUGGGCCGAUUAUCUUUCUGUACAAGAUUUUUUUUUUCUUGCUUGGCGGUUAUCUUCUGUUUUUUUUAAUGUUUUUUCCUGGUUGAUUCAUUCCAUUUUUCGUUUUUUUUAUGUUUGCCUUUUUCAUUGAUUUACACGGAUUUUUUAUGUUCGCCUCAUUCAUCAGUUUCUUCAAGUUCUAGUUUUCCUUCUUUUUCUAUUUUUCAUUUUUCUUUCCUAUUUCUUACUUUUUCCUACUCUAAUUAUAUUUUCUAAAAUAAAUGAAUAGUUUUUACAGUCGUGAACACAUUUUUAAAUUUGAGAAAAACAUUAAUAGGAGAAGAUUUUUGAAAUACAGGAACAUAUUGAACUUCGAGAACACUUUCCAACUUUAGAUUUUUUUGUGAAAUCACAGAAAUUUUAUAAAUUCAUGAAUGAUUUAUAAAUUUGAGAAGUUUUGUCAAAUUUUGAAAUUUCUACAAUAAUUUGUGAAAUAAACAAAUAGUUUUCAAAUCUAGAACAUUAUAUGAAAACAUGAACAUUUCCUUAAAUUCGAAAAAUUCAUUAAUAUAUUAUAUACUCGAAAAUAUUUUUAAAUCCAGAAUUUUUCUAAAAUUUGCAAAAGAAUAUAUAUUCAGGAAUAUUUUUUGAAAUUCAAAAAACUAUGUUUCAAAAUAUUUGUGGAACUUUUUUGUUUCUAACUUUGACAUCAUAAAAAAAUGCAGAAGAGAAAAUUGCUUGGCAGGAUCCAGCAUCCAAUGUGCCAGCCGAGGGGAGCACCCAAUGAAAUUGCUUGACUACUUGACGCGACGAGUGUCGACUACACUUCGCCAAGAGACAUUCAAGUUGUCGCUCAUUGUAACAUAUUGAUGGUCAAUCACAUAGGGCGUCCUGACUAGGACUGUGCAUGUAAGCGGUAUAUAUUGUAGUGGUAUUUUUAUAUACUAUAGCGAGGCAAAGUUUGUGUUAUCUUGGUUACCAGUUUUCUCAAAAAGAAAAGCAUACAUAGUAGAAAAUGAUAGAACAUCAUAAAUUAUGAAAUGUGUAUUUAAAUAAAUUGUGAACGUUGUUAUGAAAAAUAAACAACAUGAAUUGUGUGUGAACAUUUUUAUAAAAAAUUGAAAUUUGAGUUCUUUUAGAUGCGAUAUUUUCUAAAAUGCCUGUGACCAUUUCAAAAAAAUCAGUUAAGAAAAUUAGAUAUUUUUAGAAUUAACAUUUUCCAAUAUUUGAACAUGUUAAAAAAAUUGAAUUCCUUUUGAUGUUUUGAUUUUUUAAGGGAAGAUAUUUCACAAGAUCUGCCUUUUUGAGAUUACGAACGUGGUUUGAAAAGAAAAUAAUAAUCUUAAAAUAGAAAAGGAAGAAAGGAAAUCAAAAACUGAAAAUAAAACCGGUAAAGGAAAGAAUAGAUUUUUUUGGACCGGAUCCUUCUAGAAUGUUACUAAAACCUGGAAACCUAGAUUUGGAACCAUUGUGAAGCCGCCUUUCCUAUACAACUAUUGCAAGCUAAUUGGGCUGACCCACCCGAGCGCUCAAUUUGUGCGAAAGGUGGACAUUACAUCGCAGUGAAGGACAAAUAGGAUCUCAAGAUCCACCAAUCAUGACGAUACGUUCAUAGUAGGCAAGUGCUCGCCCAGGGGCGAGUAAGGUGAGGCGGCACAGCUUCAUCGAUGUAUAUUGGACAAUUUUUUGUGGUUUCUUAGCUUUCUUUCUUUACGUCUUUCCCCAAUGUUUUCGAUUUUAUUUUCCCCAUUCCUUUUGGGUUUCCCAUUUUAUUAUUUUCAAUUUCUUGAAUGCAUUUGAAACUAUUUUUUAGGACACAACGAAAAUUUCUCAAGAAUUUGAGCAUUUUUGUAAAAUUAAAAAUCCACAUAGAGCGUUUUUUUAAAUACACAUUGAAAAAUUUUCAAAUACACAAUGGGCAUUUUCAAAUACAAGUUGAAUAUAUCUUAAAUGCACGUCAAAUAAUUUUCAAUCGCACGGGUAACAUUUUGUAAAUAUGGUCAAUAUCUUCUUGCAAAUAAAAGAGAUACACAUUUCAAAAAAUAUUAUAAGGUAAAUAUUUUUGAAAUACAUGCUGAUCAUUUUUCAAAUACAGAAAUACACAUCAAAGUUUCUCAAAUACACAUUGAAUAUUUGGUGAGUGCAUGUCAAGGAUUUUCCAAAUAUACGAUAAAUAUCAUUUAAAUUUUUAUAAUAUGUUUUCAAAUACAUGUUGGUUUGUUUAAAUGUAGAUUAGAUUUUUUAUAUUUUUAAAUACGCAAUAAAAAUUAUAUUCACACCAGUUGUAUUUUAAAAUAUUGAUUGGACUUUUCUUAAAUACAAAAUAGACGAUUAAGUUUUUUAAAGAGACAUUGAAUAUUUUUUAGAUACAUGAUAAACCUUUUAAAAUACUAAAAAGAUAAAUAGUUGACUCAGAGUGAGAUUUUUUUAAUGCAGAUCAAACUUUAUUUAUAAAUUAUUGAAAUAAAAUGUUGUUUGCUAACUGGUACAAGAUGUUCCAAUAAUGUAUGUUUGGUACCUGGUACAAGACCAAUUCAAACAGACUCAUUCAACACCCACAAAAUAUGUGUUUCCCAAGACCUUGUGAAUAUCAGUUAAGAGCAUGAAGUAAUUUCUAAACCAUUAAAUUAAAAAUCCAACCACAUUAAUUAAUUAUAUGUGUACAUCCAGACCAUGUGCAUUUCAAAUAUCAAAACUACAUAUGAAAAUAGACAAAUCGAAUGUUACCAAACCAUCCAAACCGUAUUGGAUAUCAGAUUUCGUCAAUUCAAUUUUGAUCCAUCAAUUAAGAUGGACAGAUUGUCACAAAUCAACUAAGCGUCACCCGCAAAAAAAAAACAGACCAACUAAGCGUUUGAAAUUUGAUUAGGAAAAAAAUCACAUUUUCUUGGGAGAAGUAUGAAUAAUAAAUCCAUGCAGAAAAAUAUGCAGCAUGCCGCUUUAUUUGUAAAUUCUUAUCCUUUAGAAACAAAGAUUUUGUCAACAAAUACAAAUAGACAAGUUGUUGCUAUGUGUCUCCAGAAAAAUAAAUACAUAAAAGAUUGAACUAUCAAAUGAUUCAUAAAAACCAGAUCAAUUUCUGUCCCUACCUGCAGAGCAUAGAGCUACUUUAUUUUAUAUAAGGCACGCAUGCAUUUCAAGAUUGAACUUUGGUCAUAAGUUAGACAAACCAAAUGUAAGUUAUAGGUGACGAAAAUUAUACGAUUGAAUUUGUAUUCGAAAGAAGUUUUUAAUGGUAUAGUCAUGAAGUCAUAAAACAUAUGGUAUUGAUGUAAUUUAUGGUUGAAAUUAAAUUUUAGAAUGCGUGUGAGCCUUAUUUUCGGGAAUGGCAGGAGUCAAAGUCUUACCAUAGUUGUUUACUCCAUCCAUCCUAAAAUUGGUAGAUGUCUGUCAAUAGCACUGCAGUUAACGUUUUACAAGUUCUACUAUGAGUGAGGAUCUGGUAGCCAUCGUGUGUGGUGCCUCAUUGUUUCUGACUGGCGAAUGCACAUCGCCUGGCGCAUGGUUAAGCACCCGAUCUAGAUGCAAGGAUGUGCACAUUAGUGUAAUCAGCUGUCGCACACUCAAAAUAUACAGGUAACCGUAUAGGGACGGAUGGGCGAUAGAUAGCAGGAAGGUGUCAGAAGCCAUGGCAGAUAUCAUCAUAGAGCACAUAGCAUUAAUUUGCGUAGUACGGUUGCAUGUUCUACAACCUUUCCCUUCCCUCCCUCCACCUGUUUGUAAGAUGCAAGAGAAGAUGCAUUUUGCAAGAAAAAAUGCAAGGGAAUCUGCAUUUUGCAGGAAAGUGGACCUGGUUUAUUUUUACCCUUUUUUCCUCGCCCACAUUUCCAUGUUAAGAUCCCUGUAAAUUUCUUCAGAAAAUCGUAUAAAAAUGAAGCAAGAAAACGGAUGCGCUAACGCACAACGGCUUUCGCACUAGUUGCUCAAUAAAUCAUAUAAAUUUUUGUGAGAAAAAAAUUGCAAGAAAAAAACAUAUUAUCGCGCCAACCAUACCAUAUUAUUGCAUGAAAAAACUAAUAAUGUGAUUUAGUACAUGUCCCCUACUGUGUGUAGCUACCUUACUCCUAGCAAAAACAUUGAUGCUUCAGCUGCCGGUACAUGACUAAGUGAGUUUAGCAGGAAGCAGUCUGAUGGCGCAGUGUGCGAUGGACGGUGGAUGCCCGUGUGGCGCAGUAUCACGGGAGCUACCCGAUGUUUUGUGCAAUCUUUUGUUAGGCAAAGUUCUACUAUCAAUCUGUAAAAUUCGUACGUUUUAUCACAUACAUAAAUGUCAACAGAUUUCUGUCACAAGUAGUCGACUUUACAUCAUCAAUUAAAUUUGGAAUAAUAGUAUUAACUAGUAAGAGAGACUAGUUCAAAGAUGCUAAUUUCGAGGCCACCAUGUGCAUUUCGCAAGUCAAGAACUACAAUGCUAUCGAAGUGAAUUGGAAGGAGAGCUACCAUUAGAUACAAUAUUUUUGAUACUAAACCAUUAAAGAUCGGAUCACGUCAACUAAGAUGGCUUGCUAGUUAGAUCUGGCAAUUAAUCUAAGUCAACACUCUCCUUCCUCCUUUAACCGAAGAUUAACUCUACUCGCCUGGUAGCUAGAUAGCUAGAACUAGAAGCAUUUCUCAAACUGCAUGCAUCGAAGACCAAAACGAGUCAGAGUUCCAUUUUCCGCAUGCCAGGCUAGCUCAUGUGCUUAUAGGAACUACUACGUAGGAACACCAGUAUUUAGUGUAAGAGGAGUGCUACACAGCCGACGAUUUUUCGGCCAAUGCAUGCACGACACUAGCUAAUCACUGUUAGAUUAAAUUCCUUCGUAAAUAAGGAACUUAAGAUCCUACCAUCGUGCAGAUGCCGUCCAGAAAUGGAGCUAUUCCGUUAAUGUAAUGCAUCAUGCACCUUACGGUUAGGCGAGUCACUGUCCAUGUGUCGAAAUCCUUAUCUUUGUCAUUAGUUAAGCAAGAUCAUACAGGAUUUUCUUUUGGUAAUUAGCAGUAACACAUGUCUUACAUACGGUAUACUUACUGUUCUUUGUGUAUCUUGUUUUCCCCUUUUUUGCUGUCCGGUGUUCUUCGUUAUAAUGGCUAAGUGACAUUAAGUGCACAAUGUCAAAGGAUUCCCUGUGAUCGCCUAGAUCGAUCAAAUCACGUGAGGAAGUCGUAAGUCGUCGCCCGGCAGGCUCGAACUAAGCAAGAUCCAAAUUUUCGAUGCGCUCGAUUAUAGAAGCUCCAGUUGCUGCAUGAAAGUCCAUGGAUACGAUCACAUCUACUGUCCUAGUUGCAGCAUCAAAGUCCACGGAUCCGCAGAUCUCCUCCGAGUACUAGUAGUAACGUGGAAGCCAAUGCCAUUAAGAUAAAGGUAUAGCUGCAUGUGGCAGCUGCUUCGAGCCAGCCCUAUAAAUGCCCACGCGAUGUCUUGUUUAGCACCAUCCCACACACUCAGUACUGCACACACUGAUUCAUAAUGUCUUGGACUAAGCUUAUAUCGCUUAGCCUGGUUGUCCUGUUUAGCGUUGGAUUAGCCAGCGCUGGUAGGGUAUCUAGAUACUCUAGUUCCCAGGGAACAGGCACUGGAGGCGGAGAGGGUGGAGGAGCGGUGAACGGCGGCGGCGGAGGAAGCGGGAAUGGCCAGGGAGCUGCUCAGAGUGGAAGCGGAGGAACCCAUGCAAGUGCUGGAGGCGGCGGAAGCGGGGGUGGUUGGUCAGGGUAUAAUGGUACUGGGUAUGGCGCUGGGUCCGGCAGCGGCUCAAGCUCUGGCCAGAUGAGCCAAGGAUCAUCAAAUUAUGGUGGUGAUGGUGGGAGUACAAGCGCAGGUGGUUCCGGUGGCGGCGGCGGUGGUGGAGAGGCCGCCGACGACGACGACGACUGCCCGGCUGACUCCGCUGGCUUUGGGACAGGUGGCGGCACCGGAUCUGGAUCCAGCGAGGCGAAUAAUGACGGUGAUGCCUCCUAUACAAAUGCAAAUGCUUCCGGUAAUGGUGGCGGCGAGGGCGGUGGUAAAAAUGGUGGAACCGGCGGUGGCACAGGCGGUGGAAGCGGUUACGGUGACGCAAACCCAUGAAGCCUCUCCGUCCAAUCAAAGCAGACCGAGAGCCCAAGCUAUCGUCGUUCUCUUUUCUUUUAUUUGCAUUUGUUUUGUUCUUACGUUUCCAUGUACUAUUAGGGACAACUAAUAAAGGGCUUCAUUACACAAGUGUCUGUGAGUGACGCGGAGACUAGCUAUUUCACUGUGAGAUACCUUUGUGUAUCACUCACAGCCGUGUGUCGCGCUUAUUAUGUCUCUUCCUUGUUCUGUGUACGACUGAUCUUCCCAACAUGAGUUUACUGUUCCUUGAUCAGGCCAACGAUUUCUGCAACUUGGUGCAUGUUUCUAGACCGAUCUACUGCCCCAUCAUUGAUGAGAGCGACGAUCUCCGCGCAUUCAGUCUCUACCACCAAUGGCGUUUGGGACCAGUGCAAGGCUAGUCAACCCUAAAGUAUGAAAGAUUGACUCAUACUCAUUUGUUGUAGGGUUUAGAAAGUUCCUUCAAGAAUGAACGGGGAAUAAAUAUUCUGAGAAAUAAUGCAUGCACUGUUCCACUGCUAGGUUCACAUAUGUUUGACAUAGUUAGUGGAGUUUUUAAAUUUUUUGAGACCACAUUGCUAUCAAAGUUGAAUUCCCUAAUUUGCCACAAAAACAAAAAAACUUCCCAAGUUUCCCGCAACAAAAAAGGUAAUCCCCCCAAGAUAGAGUUACACUAAGAAAAUUCACACAUAGCACCAAAAUUGAAAAUGGAAAAACGAAAUGCACUCAACAUAUUCAUCCAAUCUGAAACUACAUGUUUAAUCAGCGUGACUUUUAAGUCCCCGUUACACCAGAUGUGUGUGCUUAGCUGUGGAAUUUACAUGAAAAAGGAUCGUCACAAUGACAAGAAGUGCCCAAACACAUGUGAGCAAUACCAUAUUACCGUGCAUUCUGCUAUUGAUAUCUACACUAUUCUAUACUGAAUGGGAACAAUGCAAAACCAUCUCUCUUUCCCAUACUUGUAUAAGUACAGUUAAAAAUAAUUCAAAAGACAAACAGCAGGAACAAAUACUGCACAAUUUUGUUACAUCCUUUCUGAUUUCUUAUUUUCUUUUUCCUUUAUUUUUUUUAUUUUUCCUUUUUCUUUGUUUUUUCUUUUUCCUUGGUUUUUCCUUUUUAUUUUUCGAAAAUACAUGAACUUUUUUAUCAAAAUAAAUGAUUUUUUAAAUCUGGUUAACAUUUUUCGAAUUUGUGAACUUUGUUUUUGAAAAAAUCACUGAAACCUUUUUCAAAUCCAUGAACUAUUUUAAAAAAUAUGGGGAACUUUUUUCAAAUUCUUGAAAAAAAAUUAAAAAAAUUGAUGAACUUUUUUCCUACCUUGUGAACUUUUUCGAAAAUCUGUGAACUUUUCUCAAAAUCCAUGAACUUUUUUAAAAAAUCAUGAAUUAUUUUUUUGAAAUUUACGUUUUCUUUUCUCAAGUAAUACUGAACUCAAAUAAGGGUCAAAUAGCAUUGUUUUCGUAUAAAACAGAUCAAAGUGACCGCGGUGAGAUCCAAGGGACAUAUGUCCCCAUAGACCAUUGGGUGAAGAUUUUUUUUCUUCGAGUUUGUUUUUUUAGCAUAUUGCUGGAUGCAAGCGAUGUUGGGCCGACCCAGUACCACUCACAUUCGAACGCCAACUAGCCUACUGCUGCCUUGAAGCGCUUUCUGGCAUCCUUAUGUAAGCAGAUGCUAAGAAAUUUUGUUAACUCGGGAGAUGUAUUGUCUGAUGGUGGCUGAGGCAGAACAGUAUAACAGAUACGCUCUGCGGUAGCUAUCACUCCAUGCCCUUCUAGUUGCUUCUUCUCGCCAUAGGGAUAUAUGCCCAAGUACAACUCUAAGACAGUUAAUCCGAAUGACCAAAUACCCGAUGCGUACACGUCCCAUUCAUGCCUUGUGGGUCGAUCUUGCCCGAGCUAAGGUAGAAGAAUGUUUGCUCUGAAGUAUUGCAGGCCGUCGAGGUAAGCAUGCAAUCUUUACACUGUUAGCAACAUCAACCAGAGUGUUGUGUGGUUUAAUAUCUUAAUGAAUAAUUUUUUAGCUAUGUAGAUAGGCAAUAACUGAUAGCAUCUGUUUAGCCACACAGACAAGCAAGACCUCGUCAAUGAUGUGUCGUCCUUUAAGAGAUCCCGAGUCCAUAAAUUCAAGCGGAAUCCUAAUCUUCCAUUCAGACUGAUACGCAUCAUAAUACCUCAUUAGGUUUGGGUGCUUCAUAGUCUGCAAUAUGGAUAUCUAUUUUUAUGUGAUUUACCCAAUGGUCUAUGGGGACAUAUGUCCCCUGGAUCUCACCAUUCAUUUUCGGCUUGAUCUAUUUCCUGCUAUAUGUGAUAUGCCUUUUCUGUUUUGUAUAAUUAUAUGUUCCUUCGUAUAAGUUGCUUUCUACCCUAUGUCGUAGGCGUGACCCCACAAUCACGUUUAAUGGUCGCUAUUCCUAAUGGAAGAGUUGGUAGUCUCGUCUUUCUCCGGUUAAUCCUUUCCCACCAUUUUUAUCGCGCCAACACAUUUAAACCAGAUUUUACCCAUGAUCUAUUUAAACCGAUUUUAUCUGUCAAUAAGAUCAAUCAAUUUUUGGUAGUAUUUGGUAACUUUUAUAUGGAAAGGAAUAAAUAAUGAUCAAUCUUUAAUUAGGACUUGGUAGCCUCCUCUUCACGGUUUUGUUGGUCAAGGUUUUUUGUCUUCCGACCACCCCUCCUGCUGCAAAACCAAAAAAGACUUCCCUCGAUCCACCCCCUCCGGAUGGAACCCCCACACACCACGAUCGCCAAACCCUACCCACCCCCUCCGGAGUGAGUUUCAAACAAGAAUAACGCGCGUGUGUGUGUGAGUAACGGGGAGACUACCUAUUUCACUGUGAGAUGCCCUUCCGUGUAUAUCUCAAUGUUGCUCUCACCUUUCAUUCGAUCCUUAUUGUGUUGCUGAGAUAACGCUCAACUAUCUAUAUUUUUGUUUCCUCCAUUGGACUAAAUUCAUUAGCAAAUUCAACAUUAAUAUAUGAAGAUUGACUCUGGCCAACUCAUUUUUGGAGGAUUUAGAAAGUUUCUUCAAAUGAAUAGGAAAUUAGUAUUGCGACAGAAUGGUGAUUGCACUGGUCCAUUACUAGCUUCACACAUGUCCUUGACACGGUUGGCGAAGUUGACUUACGAAAUUCCCCACAAGAAAAGGUAACCUCCCAAGAUGACGUACACAAAGAAAAAUCAUAGAUAGCACCAAAAAUGAAAAAUUAAGUUAUGAUCACACCAUCUCCAAGUAUGCUAGAUUGUCAUAAACUAGUACCUCGACUAUAUAAAACAACUAAUAGAUUGGUCCCUGCUUAAGGAUGUGGAUGCCAUCCACAACAUCCACUCAUACUACAAUAUUUGAUCAUAUGACUGUCGGUUGUGUGUCUGGCCUGAAAUAGGAAGUAUGUUUCUGCAUUACCAAAUAAUUCAUGAGUAACCUAUAAGAAAAGAGGUGGAUAUUUUAAAUGCUUGGUCGUCUUUAUGAAAAUGUUGUUCCUCGGGGAAGCCUUAGGUUUUCAUCACAGUGGUUAAAAAAUAUAAACAAUUUCAGGAACCUUUUGGAACAUUUAUAUUCUAUUUUUAUCGGUUUUAGAAACCCUUCACUUCCUUUCGUUGGGAGCUGGUUGUUCUCGAGGACAAUGUUUUUAAGGUUGAUUUCCCCACUGUGGAUGAUUUGCAGAGAUUGCUGAGCUUUGGCUUGUGUAGAGUUCUUGGAACUAAGUGCAUUCUGGAGUUUCACGAGUGGAAGAAGGUGGAGCCUAAGGGAAAGCCGCUUACGCAGGUCUGGUUGCGGUUUUCAGGGGCUCCAUCUAAGCCUUUGCAGGAUGUUCGAGUUGUGGCCAGUAUGGGUAUUAUGGUUGGGAAGACGGAGAGAGUGGAUAUGGCUUUUACCCGUGCUCAUGGGGUGGCCCGGAUUUUGGUGAGUGUUCUGGAUAUUGAGUUCGUGCCUGAUGUGGUCAACUGGACUUAUAGGGGAGAGGUAUUCCCGCUCGAGAUCGAGUUUGAGGACACUGAUCUGUUUGCUGAUGCGGUUAAUGGGAAUGAUGUUGAUAUGCACGAGGGUGGCGGCAGUGCGAGAGCCAAGGGGGCACCGACUGAUGAGUUGACACGAGAGGGGUCUAACGGCUCUCGCCCAAAUGCUCAGUUGCUCGGGGAUGGGACCGGGGUUGAGCCGGCAGCCUCACCAUCGGUGCCUAUGACUUCGUUGUGUUUUAGGUCCCUUGAGCCAGCCUUAGCGCCUCCCAGACUUUGGAGUGGCCGGGUUUAUUCUGAGGAUAUGUUUGAGCGCGCGCUCCCUUUGUUGGAGUUUGAGGGGGCUGGCGGAUCAUUGGCUGGACGCUUGGUGAGGGCCUCGUCGGCGAGGACUUUGGUUGGAGUUGGGGAGGGGUAGCCGGAGGUUGCCUCUAUUUCCCUUGCUUCUCCUGUGGUCGAGGCUCCGGUGAUGACGACUGCGUGUGAGCUGGGGCUUGGGGGAGGGGGUUCGGGGCAGGUGGCCUCGCCUUCUCCCCUCCCUAUCCCGACGCCGGUGACGCUUGUCCUGAGGGGGUCGGCCAACGCUGGGAGAGGGAGCCCGAGGCAGGCGGCCUCGACUCUUUCUUCUCCGGUCGUGGCGACGGCGCCCGCGCCUCCAGUAGCGCUGGAGGGAGGGGGUCUGGGGCAGGUGGCCCUGGCUCCUCCUUCCUCUUCGGCGGUCAGGAGGACCGCAUCUCCUACGACGACGGCGCUCCACUUUGCGACGGCGGGUGGGGCGGGAGGAGGGCUCGGGCAGGCGGCCCCCGCCAUCCUCUCUCCUGACGUGCCCGUGGCCUUGGGCCUUGGUGUGGGGCACUUGUCUGAGGGGCAUGGGAGCCCGCAGCCGCCGCCUCCGGUAACGUUGGUUGAUCCUUUGAGGGAUUUAGCGCGAGGCUUUACUAGGGAGGAGGUCGUUGCUUUUGGCGGGAUACCUGACCCGGUCUCGACGGGGAGACGGAUGAGUGCUCGCAUUCAGGAGCUUCCGGAGGUUGAUGACAUGCAGCAGCGGUGCGCAAUGAGGGCGGCCAAGCUUCAUGAUGCUGAGGUCUCUUCUGGUAUGUCUGUCAACAUUUCUAAUUCUUUAUUGCAUUUUUCUAAUGAGGAGAUUAUAAAUAAUGCAAACCAAUUAGGAGUUUCACUAGGGGCUACUGAUAGUGAGAUUUCCAAUUCGGUGAAUGAUCUGUUAGAUUUGGAGGCGGAACGUGCCUUAGAGAUUAUUCAUAAUCUCGCAGUGGUUAAACCAAUGAAUGAUGAUGAGAUUGAUGCAUUAGGGGUUAGAGUGCUCGAUAAUCUGUGUGCGGAUCUAGCACCCUCCAAUAAUGAGUCUGAGGACGAUGAUAUGCUCCUAGAUAAUGCCGUCGUUAGUACCGCUGAGCCCGGUUAUGAGGACCGGGCGACAGAGCCUAGUAAACCAAAGCGCAAGUGAAAACGAAAGAUUUAUCCCGUUUCUGCAGUUCGUAGGAGUGCUAGGAUUCGGACUACUAAAAAAUUGCAUGACGAAUUAUGAAAGGAAUCUUUUGGAAUAGCAGAGGUCUGAAAGACUUGGCUAAAAGAAGGUUUCUUGCUGAGGCAUCUCUGGAGCAUCGUUUAGAUUUUAUUGCUCUAUCGGAAACUGGUAGAGAUAACUUUGCGCCCCAGUUUCUUUCCUCUCUUGCGGGUGGUGUUGAUUUCGAUUGGCAUUGCCUCCCUCCGCGAGGAAGAUCGGGUGGUAUCUUGCUGGGUGUGGGAUGCGAUUCGCUUGAAGUCCGAAGUGUAGUGAUGGGCGACUUCGCAGUAAAGUUUCGAGUCAGGUCUAAAGUUGAUGGUUUCAACUGGGCUUUGGUAUAGGUUUAUGGUGCCGCACAACCCGAGCUUAAAUCGGAGUUUUUGGCGGACCUUGUUCGAAUCUGUGGGUCAGAGCAGCUUCCAAUUUUAGUUGGGGGUGAUUUCAACAUCAUUAGGAGGAGAGAGGAGAAGAAUAAUGAUAACUUUGACGGCAGGUGGUCGUUUAUGUUCAAUACCAUUAUCGAAAGCUUGGAUCUGAGGGAGAUUGAGCUUUCUGGUAGAAAGUUUACCUGGGCUAAUGCUAUGACAAACCCGACAUACGAAAAACUCGAUCGAGUCCUCGCGAGCGUGGAGUGGGAACAGAAGUUUCCUCUUGUUACGGUGCAAGCUCUUUCGCGGGGAAUAUCCGAUCACACACCCUUGUUCGUGGACUCAGGGGAGCCAAACCAGUGGGAAAUAAAAACACCUUUUCAUUCGAGAUGGCCUGGUUCGAACGCGAGGGGUUCUUGGACUUGAUUGCCAGGGAAUGGGCUAGGGGUGCAGGAGGUAGGACUGCGGUCGAGCGUUGGCAGAAUAAGAUUAGGAAUUUGAGAAGUUUCUUACGGGGUUGGGAUAAGCACCUCAGUGGGAUGUAUAAGAUUGAAAAGGAUAGGCUCCUUUCUCUUAUACAGGCCCUGGACAUAAAGGUCGAAUCCACGAUUUUGCUGCCAGCUGAGCUUCAGGUUAAAACUGAGGCGGAGAAGAGGUUGAAAGAACUUCUCCGCGAAGAAGAAUUGAAGUGGGCUUUGCGGGCUAAGGUCCGCAAAGUGGUCCAAGGGGACGCGAAUACUCAAUUCUUUCAUUUGAUUGCUAAUGGUAAGCACAGAAAGAAGCGAACCUUUCAACUUGAACAAAAUGAGGGCACUAUUUUAGGACAAGAUAACCUAAAAACCUAUAUUACCGAGUAUUAUAGGCAGUUAUUUGGACCUCCGCAGGAUAAUUGUGUGUCCCUCGAUGAGUCCAGGACUGAGGAUGUACCUCAACUAUCGGCUGCCGAUAAUGAUAUUCUGGUCGCCCCGUUCUCGAGGUGUUUGAUGCUAUUGCACAGAUGAAAAACAAUAAGGCUCCCGGACCAGAUGGAUUCCCGGUCGAGUUCUAUAAAAAGUGUUGGCACAUUAUUAAGGGGGAUUUGUUACCUAUGUUUCAUGAUCUGUUCUCUGGACAGCUUCACUUAUUUCAGUUGAAUUUUGGAACUAUCACAUUGCUUCCAAAGAAAACGGAUGCUAUGAGAAUUGAGCAGUUCAGGCCGAUCUGCCUCCUCAAUGUUAGUUUCAAAAUUUUCACCAAGGUCGGGACUAAUAGGCUCACACAGAUUGCGCAUUCUGUGGUGCAACAAUCCCAAACUGCUUUCAUGCCGGACAGAAACAUCCUUGAAGGGGUGGUCGUCCUUCAUAAAACGCUCCAUGAAAUCCAUUCCAAAAAAUUAGAUGGAGUAACUUUUAAGGUGGAUUUCGAGAAAGCGUACGAUAAGGUCAAAUGGCCAUUCCUCCAACAGGCAUUGCGUAUGAAAGGUUUUGAUGAAGCCUGGCGCCGACGGGUUGAAUCAUUUACUCAAAAGGGAGUGUGGGAAUUAAAGUGAAUGACGAUAUAGGUCAUUACUUCCAGACACAUAAAGGCCUUAGACAAGGAGAUUCGAUGUCCCCUAUCCUGUUUAACAUUGUGGUGGAUAUGUUAGCAAUUUUGAUAGAAAGGGCUAAGGAGAAUGGUCAAGUAGGUGGCUUGGUACCUCAUCUCGUUGAUGGAGGUGUAUCCAUCCUUCAGUACGCUGAUGAUACAAUCAUCUUUAUGGAGUAUGACUUGGCCAAGGCGAGAAAUAUGAAGCUGGUGUUAUGCCUUUUUGAACAAUUGACCGGGUUAAAGAUUAACUUUCAUAAGAGCGAGUUGUUCUGCUUUGGUAGAGCCAAAGAAGAACAGGAGGCUUAUAGGCAAUUGUUUGGGUGCGAGUUGGGGGAUUUACCUUUCUCUAACCUAGGUAUUCCAAUCCACCAUGGUAGGAUGACAAACAGAGAAUGGAAGUGCAUCGAGGACCGAUUUGAGAAGAAACUGAGUUGCUGGAAGGGUAAGCUCAUGUCAUACGGAGGCCGAUUAAUUCUGAUAAAUUCGGUGCUCACGAGUAUGCCUAUGUUUCUCUUAUCGUUCUUUGAGGUCCCAGUUGGUGUUAGGAAAAGACUGGACUUCUAUCGAUCACGUUUCUUUUGGCAGGGUGAUGAACUUAAAAGAAAAUAUCGGCUUGCUAAAUGGGAUAUCAUCUGUAGACCGAAAGACCAAGGGGGUCUUGGUAUUGAGAAUCUUGAGGUUAAGAACAGAUGCCUUCUUAGUAAGUGGCUGUGGAAGCUCUCAUCUGAGACUGAUGCCACGUGGGUGCAAAUCCUUCGCAGCAAGUACCUCCAGACAAAAACUUUGUCCCGGGUCACAGUCAGGCUGACUGACUCGCCUUUUUGGAAAGGACUGAUGAAAGUCAAACAAUCCUUGUUUAAUAGAACAAAGUUUGUUAUUGGAAACGGCGCUAGUACGCGCUUAUGGGAGGAUACUUGGCUCGGCGAGACACCCUUGGCCAUUCAAUAUUCGUCUUUGUAUCGUAUUGUUCAACGACGUGAGGUGUUCGUUGCAACGGUAUUUCAAUCUAUCCUCCUUAAUAUUCAGUUUAGACGGUCGCUAGCGGGUAAUUGUUGGGAAGAAUGGCUCCGUCUAGUUAGGAGACUGAUGGAGGUUCAGCUUUCUCAACAACGCGAUGAAUUACGCUGGAAACUGACUAGGUUGAGAGUAUUCACAGUUAAAUCAAUGUACAUUGAUGUUAUUAAUUCGAACUCCAUUCCUACCUCCCAGAAUGUUGGGGAUGUCAAAGUUCCUUUGAAAAUAAAAGUGUUUAUGUGGUUUGUUCAUAAACAAGUUAUUUUAACCAAGGACAACUUGAUAAAGCGUAAUUAGACAGGACCUACUAGGUAUAGUUUCUGUGAUCGGGAUGAGACGAUCAAACACCUCUUUCUUGAUUGCCCGUUGGCCAAAGUCCUUUGGCGGACGGUCCACAUUGCUUUUAAUAUUACUCCACCGAAUUCUGUCAACGCGUUAUUUGGGACAUGGCUUAAUGGGAUUGAGUCUGACUUAGCGAGACACAUUCGGGUUGGAGUUUGCGCUUUGAUGUGGACUAUCUGGAAUUGCAGAAAUGAUUUGGUUUUUAACAGAACAUCACGUAUUCAUUUUUUGCAGGUUAUUUUUCGAGCCACGGCACUGAUCCGUUCGUGGUCGCUACUCACUCCGAUGGGGGCCAGGGAGCAUUUGGUUACAGGAUCUAUCCGCUGGGAGAUGAUAGCUCGGGAUAUCUUCAACCGGUUUGAAUGGCGGUCAUGUAAUAGGAUAGGCUAUUAGUUCACAUAUCUAUCUUUAGCCAGCCAGUUGUGGCGUCUUUUCUUGGCUAGUUUGUGUUUCUAGCCCUAUUUGGCUCUGUGUGAGCUUGCUGUCCUUUUUUUUCUACAGUUCGAGGCUUCGAAACCUUGUUGGAACCUUUUUAUUUGGUUAAUAAAAUGGCCGUAUGCAUCACUCUGAUGCAGAGGCCGGGGAGCUCUCCCUUUUCGAAAAAAAUACGAGCUCCCAUUUCCAAGACGGAAUCAAGACUAAUGAAAUCACAAAUCCCUUGUAACGACGUGUUUGACACAAUGGUCACGCAAUCGUGGGAAUUUGUGGCGACAAUUCUAUAUAGCGCUCGCCCGGGGUAGUGACCCUCAUGUUCCAUAUGCUACCAUGUGAUAGUAUAUAUACUAUUUUAUCAUUUUAAAUAUGUUCAUAUAUCAUUCUAAGUAUAUAUACUAUUUCAUAUACCAUGGGAUGGUAAAAGCGCUAAAUAGGAGCUUCCGGUCUUAUUUCAGCCGAAACACGUACAGAAAAAUAAAGUAGGAAUAAAAUCCUGAAGGAGUGCCCAAAAAUGACCAGAGGCUCCGGGAAGGGAUACUCCUGAGUUAGUUGUUCUCUUCGGCCUUUAACAUUCAGUGCAGUAUAGACACUCUGCCAGUUGAUCAUGGGCUUGCACAGUAGCUCACCUGGUUCGUGUCCAGGCUCUACGACAUUGUGCUUGUGGGAAGUUAAAGCACGUCGAAUUAGUAAUCACGCUCAACAACAUUCAGCAUAAUAAUCGAUGAUUCCCUACACUAUGGCCAGCCUAAAAAAAAUCGAGGAAGGACGACCAAUCCAUUUGGGUCAAAAGUCAAAACACGCCACUACAUGCCGCACCUCCUCGUUUGCCAGUUCAAGCCUCUUUUGGUUCAUAUGAUAGAAAUGUUAUAGGAAUAGGAAAAUUAUAAAAAGUGAGAUGACAUGCAUCUUAAUUUUUAUAGAGAAAGAGAUGUCAUUUAAUGCAUAGGAUAGAAAUUUUUCCAUUGAGUCUUAGCUAAUAUUUUUUUUCCUCCAAAAUGUGAAGGAUUGAUUCCUAUCCUAUAUAGGAAUAGAAAUCCAUUUCUACAAACAAAAAGGCUUUAAAAGAAAUUUUUCUAUGCAAAUCUUAUCCUAUAGAAAUCCUAUGACAUUCUUACAAACCAAAAGAGACCGGAGUGGUUGUGGGCUUGUGGUUGUGGCGAUGGGGGUGCGCGCGCAUCUCCUCGUCGUCCUUUGCAUCCUCGUCGCCGGCACAAGCACGGCUCAGCUUUUGCCGCCGCGCGGCCCGGCACCGCAGAUGAAGCCACCGCCGUUCGGGCGCGCCAUGACGAUGAUCAUCACGGUGGUCGCCGUGGCCAUCGGCGUUCUCUUCCUCCUGCUCUUCUUUUGCGCGUACGUCACCCAGUGCCGCCUCGUCGAGGACCACGGCGCGCCGCAGGAGGGUAGCGUCGCGCCGGGCGGGGUGUCCAGGCGGGGAAAGCGCGGGCUGGACCCGGCGGUGGUGGCGACGUUCCCGAUCGUGCCGUACAGGGAGAUCAAGGAGCACAAGAUCGGCAGUGGCGCGCUGGAGUGCGCCGUGUGCCUGACGGAGUUCGAGGACGCCGACGACCUCCGGCUGCUGCCGCACUGCUCGCACGCGUUCCACCCGGAUUGCAUCGACCCGUGGCUCCAGACGCGGACCACGUGCCCGCUGUGCCGCGCCAACCUCGAGAAGCCACCGCCACCGGCUGCCGCCCCAGCGCCCUCCUCGCCGCCGCAUGCCGUCGUGGCGAUGCCGGUGCAGCAGGGUGAGCAGAAGGAGGACAGUGACAAGGACGACCGGAAGGAGGAGGCCGCAGAGCUGGAGAAGCUGCGCAGGGAGCGCCGGGCGGCGAGGCUGCUGAGGUCGCACUCGACGGGGCACUCGGCGGAGCAGUGCGACUGCGAGGACCACGAGAGGUUCACGCUGCGGCUGCCGCAGCACGUGAGGGAGGAGGUGCUCAGCAGGUGCUGCGCGAGGCCGUCUGUGGAGAGCCUGAGCGGAGGAGGGUGCGGUGUGGGAGAAAGAGGAGGCAGCUUCCGCGACGCCGGAGGAGCCAGCAGCGGCGAGCGGCGGUGGCAGACGCUCCUGGCCAGGACGAUGCCAUGGGCCCGAGCCGGGUCGACGCGGAAGGUGCGGGAUGACGUCGCGGCCUCCACGACGGCCGCGCGGCCAUGACCCAGACGACGUCGACGCCGGAACAUUUCGUGUGCUCUUUCCGUUGACUCUGAUGGUGUACAUUGAUUCUUUUGUAAUUCCGUUGGGUGUGGUGUGGGAGGCAAUUCGAUCACAGAGGAGCAGCGUAUGCGUGGUGGUGAUGCUUUGUUUGUGCUCCUUGGUGUUGAUGGGUUAAUGGUUGGUUGGGUGUCCGUCCGUUGCUCUCGGUCAACCCUUCGUUUGAAUGAAAUAUUCAUGUACGUAAAAACACGAGUGUAAACAACGGAUAUGGAAAAGUUUCUCGUGCUGAAAAAUUCUGUGGAGAAGAACGUGCAUGUGGCAUGAAUAUGGCCGUUUGAGUAGGUAUCAUUUUGGCAUUCGGCGUUUGGCUAGCGGAUAUCCGGAGGUAGGAGUACUUGUUUUCUCAACCUGAUCGUGAUUUGUCUUUUUUUUUCUCGAGCUGUGAAUCAAAAAUGAGUUUGAAAUUUCAAAUAAAAUACUUGGGAGCAAGAUGUUUGAGUGGAUGAAAAUUAUCCACCAAAAUGGAAUAUACUAGAAUGUAUCCUUAGGAAAAAGAACAAGAAUUUUCUCAGAAGAAAAUUUCUAAAGAUGAAGAAAAGAAAGGUGUUGAAGUUCCUAAAGUAUGUCGAGGAUAAACAGUUUUCCUGUUUCUCAUCUAGCUGAGAAAUAGUUGUGUCUCAAUCACCUUAACCACCGUUGGUCGGAUCAUGUGUGCUGCAAUAUGUGCGUGAGCUGACCAUGAGCGCAUUAUGUUUCUAAUCGGCGACAGUUUCUUUUUCUUUUUUUGAAUAACAAUCGGCGACAGUUUCUUGUUUCAUGUGGGUGCUGCGAUUUGUGCACGGGGCGGUGCGGCUAUGUAUCGCUUACAGCGAUCCCGAGUGCAGUGUCACCUGCAUCGCUCCGCGGCGCUCCCUAACUGGGCUAACUAUGUGCGACACUGCUCUGUUUGCUCGUUUGUUUUUCUUCUUUUCUUUAUUUUAUACUUAUAUUUCUGUUUUGAAAUAUCGGAAAAAAUAAACAUUUAUAUUUAACUGUUUUAUGAAGUGUUUUAAAAAAAUAUUUAUACAGUGCUAAAAAAAUGUUUGCCCAACUUUCAACCAGUUUUAAUGGCAAUAAAAAAUAUAUACAUCAAAAAAUAUUAACGUGUUUUGAAAUAAGUUGUGACAUUUACAAAAAAGAGUUAUGUAAUGUUAAAUAAAAAUUCACACAACUUCUUCAAAACGUAUAUAAAAUAAUUCAGUUUUUAGGAAAAAAAUGUUUUAUUAAAUGUUAUGCAAUGUAAAAAAAUUGUUCCCAUAAUUCAAAUAUAUAUUUCACACCAUUUAAGAAAGAUAUGUGAAAAUUCAAAAAUGUUCAUGUGUUUCCAAAAUAUGUUUUUCAUUUUCUACAAAUAAUUUUUAAAAAAAUAUUAAACUAUAUAAAAACAAUGUUUUGUAGCAUUCAAAGAGGUUAAUGUUCAACAAUUAUUUUAAAAAUAUUUAACACAUAUUAAAAAUAUGUAUUUGAAAAAAGGUUCAUCAUGUAUUUAGAAAAUGUUCAAUGUGUAUAAAAAAUAUUACAUGUUUCUACAAAAAUGUACAAUAUUUAUAUCAGAUGUAGCCACGUGUUAAAAAAGCAAAAAGAAAAGAAAAUUGAUGAAGCAAUACAUAAGACCGGAGAAAAACAGUGAAGGAAACACAUAAUAAAACAAGAAAAAAAACCACCGAAAAAACUUGUCAAAACUACUACAUAAACAAACAGGACAGGAAUCUGGGUGAGGAGGAUAUGGAGUGACACAAAGUAGUAAGAGGUGGGCAAGUAUCGAACAAAGAAAUGGAAGAUCGACAAAAGAAGAGAAGGGGAUCUAGGAUGGAGUUUGAUUGAUAGAUAGAUGUAGACGGGGAGAAAAAAGGGGAUCCGGGAGAAGAACAUGAGGGAAGGAGUUCGAAUAUGGCAUAACGCCAGUCGCCGAACUAACACCGGAAAUCGCCAUGGAGGCAAGUCGUGCCGCUUCCGAGCGGUCCAGUCUACCACAACAACAGGUGAAACCUACUUAGGAUUUGCAACAAAAGAAAUAUAGCUACCGGUAAUGGGGUGCCCCCAUACAGUUUUCUCUAUGGGAUUUUUACACUUUUUUGUUCUGCCAUAUGUGGCCUUUCCUGUUUGACCCCUGAAGAUCCCAAGUACUUGCUCGUGGAGUGUUGUUUGUAGGGACUCCACGGGCAAGUACUUGGGAUCUGCAAUGAUCAAAUGUUUAGGUAUAACUGACCUUUCUUCCCUGGAGGCGAUGGCAUGCCGGGAAGUGUUGGUACUCGCCCUUGAACUAUCGCUAAUGGAUGUGGUGAUUGCUUCAGACUGCCAAGGAGUGGUCAAUGAUAUUCAUAUCGAUACAGGUGGACUAUAUGCAAGCAUCAUCAAGAAGAUCAAUCAUACAUCCAAGUAGAUAGCUCGUUGUUCCUUCAACUUCGAAGGAAGAGAGACUAAUAUCGACGCGCAUAGCCUCGCUAAACACGCUCUAGGCUUUUCUCUAGAACGCCAUGUGUGACCCUGAAUGUUCCAGACCUAAGUUGUAUCCCCAUGAACUUAUUACUUGAUCAAUAUAAUGGAGUGUGUUUGGAGUAAAAAAUGGUGGGGCCUUUUUCACCUCUCUUUUAUCGUUAGAAGACUUUGAGAGCAGAUCCGUGUUGCUGGGUUGUCUCUCAUAUGUGUUAUUUUCUUAUCUCACCUUUUACUUUUCAGUUCUAAUUUUUUUUAUGUUUCUUUUAUUUUUAUAAUAUUUUUUCCAUGUUCAUACGACGAAUACAAGGGUGCAAUUUCAGUGUGUUUAUAUUUUUAUUACGCAAACACCCACAAGUGUCCGAGUUGCAUAUUUAUCACAUUGUAACCCAAGUGUAACUGCAUGGGCAUAAAACGACUUCAAACGGGGUCGGGAGGGUAUUGACGGGCUACUAGACAUGCAACUGCAAGCGUUGUAACUCAACUGCAACUGCGCGCACAAAAGUGACUGCAACUAGGGCCGGAAGGGGAGUUGCCGACGCCAGUUGCAUGUCGACCACUACAUGCAACUGCAAAUGUUGUAAUCCAACUAUAAGUCCAAGGGCACAAACCGGUUGCAACUAGGUCGGGAGGAAAGUUUUUCGUGGCCAAUUGCAUGUCCAUCAAUAGACAUGGAACCGCAAACAUUGUAACCAAACUACAACUCCAUGGGCACGAAUCAAUUACAACUAAGGUCGGAAGUGGAGUUUGUGGGGACCAGUUGCUUGUCCACCACCAAACAUGCAAUUGCACGGGCGCAGAGCGACAACAAUUAGGGCUGAGCUGAUUUUUCUUCUACUUGUCGCAUGCACACAAGUUGCAUGAGUCGCACCCAUGAGUUGCAACUGUGACAAGACAUAUGCAACCAGUGCCGACCUGGUCUUUUCCCUACUAGUCACACAUGCGCGACUUGGAUGUGACGCACCAAUGCACAAUUGCAACCAUCGCAACACGUAGGCAACUAGCGUCAACCUGAUUUUCCUACUAGUCCAUGUGCAUGAGAUGCAUACGACACACCGGUGCACAAUUGCAAAUGCCUAACUAGACAAAGAUAAAGUACCAAACUGACAAGCAGAACAAGACAAUAGCUCAGUAGGGAAGUGAAUGAGAGGUAGUUAUAUCUCGAUGAGUUCUAGGCACUACCAAGAAUAAAUAGAAAAUAUAUGUUUUCACUUACAAAAUAAAGAUUUUUUCCUUUUAUUUUCCUUGUCUAAUGGAAGGUAUACACAUUAGAUGGACCAAACACACAAUAGUAGAUCUUUCACAAUGGUUAAUCUAAUGGUUCAUCCUCGAUUUUGGAAAUCACUUGUACGAAUAACCAAGACCAUAUUCACAAUACAAACAUUUGCUUCCCAUCUAAGAAACAAAAGGUAGGAGUCUUCUUGUCGAUAACAUCUUAGAUGUCGGUACCAUUGUCUUCAAUUAUAGCACAAAAUCGGAGCCGUUAUGAUCAAAUGUGUCGUAAAAGUAGCCUCUCUUGCAAUAUGGGGCAUCUUAGACCAUGUGGUUAGAUCAUAAUGGCCAAGCAUAUGGAUGUUGGUACAAACAUAGUCUAAUAGAACAAAGAGCGGACAAGAUGACCCCGGGACUCAUUGAUGGUGAUAGACCCUAUAAAUGAUCCUUUUUUACAAAAAGACUGGUUUAGCAAAAUAGAUCAAACAGAUUAUAUAUUAUCAAAAGGAAGUGAGCUGUUUCAAAGACCAUUCAACAAGUACCUCGCUAAAUAGUGUCUCAUCUACGCUUCAUUUUAUACAUUUUUUUAUCAAGAAAAAAGACCACAAUAAACUCUUCGAUUUCUGUCAUCGGGAACCUAGGAAAUGAACAAGUCCAAGAACCCACAACCCACUGUCAAAUAGUACGAGUAGAACAAGCUACUUUGUCGAACCUACACACUACCCCACCUAUCAGAUAGAAUGUUAGGGGGCACAGGGUAGGCUACUCUAACACAAUACGAAGCAUUUCUACCUUGUGCCAUCCAAGAUCAUGCUAUCGGAAGGAGAUCGCGUACGUAUCACUCGACACGUGCAUACUGGUAGAGGGAGUAGACUCGACGAAGCUCGUCGCCGUACUUGUAUUCAUACGUCUCCACUUCUCACCAGAUUCGUCUAAGCAUGACACGAGCCACACCUCCAAAGUGUAUCCACAAAUACGUGUCUAAGGACUAAGGCUGGUCAUAGUGGGGAGUAACUUAGACUAGUGUCAUGCAUAUGACAUUAGUCUAAGUUACUACCUUCGUAAUGCAAAGUAAUAUACUAGUAAUAUCAUAGAUGACUUCAUUUAUUAGCUCGUAGACUCAUCUUGUCUUGAAAAACGUUAUGUUACAGUAACAUAUUAUGUUGCCAUCUUUCAUUAGUUACUUGCCACAUAAGCAGAAUUUUCUUGAAGUGCGCUAUGUUACUAGCUAAGUUACUCCCACUAUGACUAGCCUAAUGGUGGACUUCUUGGUUCCUUGCCAUAGGCCAUUGGAAAGGAGACAAUGGCACUGGGUUGGUUUCUCUAAAGCCUAGAGUGGGUCCAGGCAUUACUAGCUAGAACCCGAGGUGAAGAUAUUGAUACCCAUCUACUUUAAAAACGGAUCGUUUGGCAGGCAUGCGGACAUUAGAUCUCACUUGAGUAUCUGGGAACGACAACUAGCCAUGCCAAACAUGUUUGUAAUUGGGCAAGUUUUCAUACGGUAAUUGUCCACAUAUCUUUACCUAAUAAUAAAGCAAAUUGGAUUUCUUUCGUCCGUCAUGGCAUUUUUCAGAAAAGUCCCUCUAUUUCAGAGAAUUCAACCCGCAGUCCAGUUUUAAGUUAAAACGAAUCAUUAUUUUCGUAUUUUACAUAAAAGUCCAUGUCUUUUCUUGAAAUCAACCCGCCGUCUGGAUUUAAGUCACACCCGAACCGUUAUUUUACAUUUUUCAAAAACCCCAUAAUGUUUUAGGUAAUUCAUCCGCCGAUCAUAUUUAAGUCAAACAAAUGCUUUUUAAAAUCAUCCAUAUCUUUUAAACCGUAACUCCGAUUUGAACAUGUUAUAUAUGAAAUUUGAUUAGAAAAAUAUGUAGAAUAUGAAUAUGAGAUUAUUUUUACCUAUUAAGUAUUUUUAAAUAUUAUUUUGGAAUAUAUUUAAGUCAAACCAGAUGAUUUUUUAAAUUAUCUGUAUCUUUUAAACCGUAACUUCGAUUUUAACAUAUUAUAUAUGAAAUUUUAUUAGAAUAAUGUGUGGAAUCUAAAUAUGAUGUUAAUUUUACCUAUUAAAUAUUUUUAUGGAAACAAACUUAUAAUUUAUAGCGCAAUAUCUUUUUUAAUACCGGCGGCGAUCCAGAUUGCAAAUAAACACCCCACUAUAACCAUAUAGGGAAAAGAAAACAUUGAUAACUACACAUGCAUACCUCUAAAAAAUGUCGCAAGGGAAAACAACAGAUUUCUCAUCACGAAAGAGAGAGAGAGAGACGCCUUAGGAUUAACCAUAUUCAACACAUAUUUUUUGUUGUUUUGUGUGAACACCGAGGCCAUCACCGGCGAGGGUGAGAAGGAGGAUAAGCGGCAACACAAAUAUGAUGCCUUGCAAAAAUAAAGGAGAUGGACCUAUUGUGGUCUUAAGUGAUGGUUGUUGAGUUAAGAGCGUGCGUUAUGUUUUCUCUCCCGUUGCAACGCACGGGCUCUUUUGCUAGUAUGUUACAAAAUUACAUAUCAUAGAGAACCUUGUACUCUGCAGACGAGACAAACUUGGUAAGUUUUGAACAUGAAUUUUUUGUGGUGGCAAUUGGAGGCUGAGUGUAUGAACCUCUUAGCAGACCAUCAGCAAUGGCCUUGUAUGACGUUUCUGUGGGAUGCAAGCCAUCCCAAGAUGCAUACUUUUGUGGGUUAUCACACAUCUUGUAUUCUCCAUGUCCACACUUUGUGGUUAUUGACACACCAUAAGGCCCUUCUACACCGCAGCAAGCCACCAAAGGAUCCUCGAUACCUAAAGAGCAGUUACAGCAAAUGAGAGUCGGGACUAGCAUAUGCAUCUUUUAGUAGAGAAUGUUUUUCUUGCUGCCUUCUAAGUGAUUUCAUGUAUAAACCAUAAAGUUUUGGACCCACCAAACUGAUAAGGGGAAACGAAGAUUUCCGUAGCAGCUCCAUAGUAAUCAGCAUAGAUGAUUGACACACUUGGAUGAAGCUUUCUUAACUUUUCCAACUCAUCCACAAAGAAGUUUGUUGUGGUAGCGUGAGAACUCAUUCAUCCAACGAAUACAACAUGUCUCUGACUCAUAAUCCUCCAUGUUAUCACUUUGGUGCAUCGUGAGGUACACCGGCAAGCACCCGAUGGGGAGGUUGCCGGGAACUAAUAGAGUUUUGGCUCCUAGUGCAAUCAGAUCCUGGAAAUUGCACCUCGUUACAUUGCAUUAUUAUGUAGUUAUGCACUAUUUAUGUAAUUGAGAUUUGACAUAAUAACAAUGGCGAUGAUAGCAUAAGGAGCAAAAACAGAAAAUGACUCACGAUGAUUGUAGAUGAUAUUUUGGAAAUAACACUCGGAGUGAACAAGCGGAUCUUCUCAACAGGCACCAAAGAGGUAAGAGGAAUGUUGUAGUCAUUUCCCCCAAUUUCUCCAACCAAAAAAAGAGAAUUGUUCAUCAUGUCCGCACAGUCUGUUGCAUAAACACGUUACUUUAUCAAUGCGGAAAGGUAACAUCUUAAUAAAUUUAGAAAAUAUAUCGAAAUAGAAAAUACAACAUUUUAUGGUAGCAAAAUAGUGAAAAGGUGUACAACAAUUUAGAUCCAUUUUUUUCUGAUUCCGCUGUAGAGGAAAUUUGGAAGUCUAUAUCUUUGACUUUGAACGCCAAAGUUGUCUCCUCUGGAUAAUAGUAAUGUUGUUGUCAUUUGGUAAAACAAACCAAUUGUAGGUUAUUUACCGUUCCUGUUGAAAUUUCUAAAAUCAAGCUACAACCUCAAUAUAUUAGCAUAAUUUGGGCAUCAAUAUGGACCUUGGAAAUUAUUGGGCUAGGCCCAUUAAUUAUCACAAAAAAUUCCCAAUAAAUCUUGAAGGCCCACUCAUGCAUGCCGACUCCUAUUUGACGCCCUCGGCACCUGUUAUAGGCAAAUCCUAUUUAGCGCUGCAGGCGCUGGUUUCUUCUAUUUCUGCAAACCGGCGCCUGCAGGCUCCUUAGCUGGGCUCGGCCCAUUUAGCAUUUCCUUUUGUCUGUUUUAAAGUGCAAAAAUGUUGCCAGCGAAAGAAUCGACCCUCAGCACCUGUUAUAGGCAAAUCCUAUUUAGCGCUGUAGGCGCCGGUUUCUUCUAUUUCUGCAAACCGGCGCCUGUAGGCUCCUUAGCUGGGCUCGGCCCAUUUAGCGUUUCCUUUUGUCUGUUUUAAAGUGCAAAAAUGUUGCCAGCGAAAGAAUCGACCCUCAGCACCUGUUAUAGGCAAAUCCUAUUUAGUAUAACCAUCGUUAACUUAUCGAUUGAAACUGCUUCCAUCCUUUUUGUUCUUUCCUAGUUCGCAUCUCUUCUUCUUUUUCUAUUUUUCUGUCCUUUUCUUCCUUUUCUAUUUAUUUAUUUUUCUGAAAUGCGCAAUUUAAAUCCAUGAACUUUUUCUUCAUAAUCAACGAACUUUUCUCCAAAUUUAUGAACCAUUUUCAAAACUUGUGAACAUUUAUUAACAUUUGAUGAACUCUUCUCAGAAAUCCAUGAACUUAUUUUUCAAAUUCGAUGAACUUUUCUCAAAUUUAACGAACAUUUAAAAUUCGUUGAACUUUUUAUGAAAAUCAAUGAACUUUUUUCAAAUUUUGAUGACCUUUUUUCUAGUUUGAUGAUUUAUGUUUUCAAAUUUCAUGAACUUUAUCUUAAAUUCGAUGAACUUUUCUCAAAUUUGAUGAACUUUUUUUUUAAAAUUGGUGAACUUUUUUCAAAAUCAAUGAGCUCUUUUCAAAAUCGAUGAACUUUUAUCAAAAUCGAUGAACUCUUUCUCAAAUUUGGUGAACUCUUUCUCAAAUUUGGUGAACUUUUUUAAAAAAGUUCAAUGAACUUUUUUAAAAUUCACGAACUUUUUCCUUUUUUUGAAGUUUUCUUUUCAUUUCAUUGUUUAUGUGAAUGUUUUUUAAUAUUUAUGUUUUCUUUAGUCAAAUAAUCCAUGGUUCAUGUAAAUACCCAGUUUUCCUUAAGUAAUCAAAGAACUAAACAUGGUCUAGCGGUUAACUCGUGUAGGGCACUACCGCUGCGUCCUUGGUUCGAGUCCCACUUCUCCCCGAAAGUAACGUCACAUUUUGCACUCUCCUUUUGCUUUGCAGCACGUUGCUGGGCCGGCCCACUUCGCGUCCGUGCGAGCGCCAGCGACACGAAGCGGCGCCUACAGCGCUCAAUAGGAACUCUCCCUGUUAUAGGCCAUUCCGUAAACCGGCGCACACUCCACUACAAACUGGGCUGACCCAUUCAUUUUUAUUUUCUUUUCUUUUAGCCUUCAAAAAAUGGGUGUCCAACGUGAGAAUCCAACUCCAAACCUCUUGCGAACCAACCUGUGAUUGAGAUGGGAAUGUAACGUCACAUUUUGCAUUCUCCUUUUGCUUUGUAGCACGUUGCUGAGCCNNNNNNNNNNNNNNNNNNNNNNNNNNNNNNNNNNNNNNNNNNNNNNNNNNNNNNNNNNNNNNNNNNNNNNNNNNNNNNNNNNNNNNNNNNNNNNNNNNNNNNNNNNNNNNNNNNNNNNNNNNNNNNNNNNNNNNNNNNNNNNNNNNNNNNNNNNNNNNNNNNNNNNNNNNNNNNNNNNNNNNNNNNNNNNNNNNNNNNNNNNNNNNNNNNNNNNNNNNNNNNNNNNNNNNNNNNNNNNNNNNNNNNNNNNNNNNNNNNNNNNNNNNNNNNNNNNNNNNNNNNNNNNNNNNNNNNNNNNNNNNNNNNNNNNNNNNNNNNNNNNNNNNNNNNNNNNNNNNNNNNNNNNNNNNNNNNNNNNNNNNNNNNNNNNNNNNNNNNNNNNNNNNNNNNNNNNNNNNNNNNNNNNNNNNNNNNNNNNNNNNNNNNNNNNNNNNNNNNNNNNNNNNNNNNNNNNNNNNNNNNNNNNNNNNNNNNNNNNNNNNNNNNNNNNNNNNNNNNNNNNNNNNNNNNNNNNNNNNNNNNNNNNNNNNNNNNNNNNNNNNNNNNNNNNNNNNNNNNNNNNNNNNNNNNNNNNNNNNNNNNNNNNNNNNNNNNNNNNNNNNNNNNNNNNNNNNNNNNNAAUCCAACUCCAAACCUCUUGCGAACCAACCUGUUGUUUAAAUGGGAAUGUAACGUCACAUUUUGCAUUCUCCUUUUGCUUUGUAGCACGUUGCUGGGCCGGCCCACUUCGUGUCCGUGCGAGCGCCAGCGACACGAAGCGGCGCCUACAGCGCUCAAUAGGAGCUCCCCCUGUUAUAGGUCAUUCCGUAAACCGGCGCACACUCCACUACAAACUGGGCUGACCCAUUUAUUUUUAUUUUCCUUUCUUUUUGCCUUUAAAAAAUGGGUGUCCAACGUGAGAAUCCAACUCCAAACCUCUUGCGAACCAACCUGUGGUUGAGAUGGUUAGGUGGACAGUGGUAUUCCCAACCCACCAGGGUUCAAAUUCUGGUGCUCGCAUUAUUUCUGGAUUUAUUUCAGGAUUUCCGGCGAUGCGCUUUCAGUGAGAGGAGACGUUCCCGUCGACGACGAGGUGCCUACGGUGACUUCGUAAAUCUCAAGAUGAUAUGCCGGCUCAGUCUCUCGGAGGUGCUCAUAGGGAUAGGGUGUGCGUGUGUGCGUUCAUAGGGAUGAGUAUAUGCGCGUGUAUAUGAGCGCUUGUGUCUGUAUUGAUGCUCAAAAAAAAAAAACUCCAAACCUCUUGGUUUGGUUCAAACCGCAGUAACCAACUGAGACAGCUUACUAGCUGUACCUAUUUACUUCUUUUUCUUCUAGUUGUGCGUCAAAUUAAAUGCAGCAGUUUCCCUGUAUGGUUUUCUUUCUUUUUUCUGGUUUUGUUUGGCUGUUUCUUCUUUUCUUUAUUUAGUUUUUUCUCUUUCUCUAUCCCUUUUUAUUGUCUUUUCUUUUUUUAGAUUCGUGAACUUUCUUAUAAUAAUGAAUUUUUUCUUAAAUUCAUUAACAUUUUUCUAAAUUCGUCAACAUUUUCUUACAUUCGUGAACUUUUUUCAAAUCAGCAAACUUUUGCCGAAUCCAUGACUUUUCUUCGAAUGCAUGACAGUUUUUCAAAUCCACAAACUCCUUUUAUCCAAGGGUGUUUAGCUUUUGUCCAAAAGACUAGCACAACAGUGUUGCCAAUUAAUCGCGAUGUGCCUGAACCGAUCAGGCUCCAAUUUAUUGUUACUUUUGUACUCACUCUGUAAACUAAUCUAAGAGUGUUUAGAUCACUAAAGUAGUGUUCUAAACACUUAUAUUAAUUUACGGAGGGAGUAAUAAAUAAUGCCCAAGACUUGCUGUGUACAUGUUGCGGCUUUGUCCAAGUCUAAGGCUAGUUUAUCUUGCAGUUAGCUAGACUAGAAUCAAUGCGAGGACUUUGGCCACGAUCGCGUCCGUGGGAUGGCACGGGAGUGAUGGAUCGUGGGCAAGAUCUUCGGUUCCCAUGAAUAAAAGGAGAAACCCGAAAAGGACGUAGGUGUUGAGCGCAUCGCAAAAACCUGUUUCUCUGUGUGUUGCUAUUCGUCAGUUUUCUGUCAGAGAGAGUUUUAGAGCUUGGCUCACAAAUCCACGUGAUUGUGUUGUGUUUCAGGGCCUGAGAUCCAACACAAAACUUAGCGAUAGCUUGCUCAAGAAAAAAAUGACCAAAGAUGGAUGACUAAAGGAGGACCAAAGGAGUAAAUAAAAGAUCAAAUCAGGGACAGAUGUGCUAAUAAGGAUCAAAUCAGAUAAGUACCUGCAGGCAGGAUUCAUCCCACGUACAAACUGGCAAAAUUGUAGGGCAUGUUAGUAGAAAACUUCAAGACAUAUAUCGCAAAAGAAUAUAUGAUGAGCUGAUCUAGCUCAGAAACCAAGUGAGCCUGCACCCGCAUAUGAAGUUUACCUAAACUGAACAAGACAAGAUAUCCUGGUCAUAUUAGAUAUGCACGGCCAGUUUCCAUGGAAUGGAAGGCGUCCUAUUACAGAGUUCUUAUUAUACUUAGUGGAUCCUGAGGCAUAAUGAUACAUACCAAAAAAUUAAACUUUGUUUCGAGCUUUAAAUACAGUCCAGAGAACAACAGCAACACCGACUGGUACUAUCUAUCAAUAAAGAAACAAGCAUAUUACAGAGACUGAAAGCACACUUCACUAUGCGCCGCACAAACCUUGCUACCGGCCAGCUAAAACCAUGCAAUUAAUUUGAAAAGUACAAGAAAUAUAGCACCAAGGAGAAAUCAUAGAGGUUACCUUGGCAUCUUAACAAGAUACGGAGCUCACAUCAAUCUCGACAAAAAAGUUGUGAAGCAAGGAAAGAGAGGAGCUUCAGAGUUAGUGGUGGGUGCUGCAUGAAGUGCAGUGGGAAGCAGAGCUUCAGACUCUGCUUUUGCAUGAAGUGCAGUGGGAUGCAGAGUGAAUGGUAGUAUGGAAGUGAGUAGUGCACUUCAUGUAGAAUAGUGCACUUAGUCACUUCCAUACUACCAUUCCUGAACUCUGCUUCAGAGUUAGCGGUUGGGAUGCUGUAAUACAAAAUUGACAAACAGUAUGUAGUCAUGCCAAACAUCAUACUUGAGGCGGCUUCCACGUGAUUGUAUAUACCACCUCAUCGCAUCACGUCACCUUGGAAGCUGUGUUGAAGGAAAUUACUCCAUCCAUCCCUUAAUAUAAGAACAUUUUCAAACUAACAUAGCUUGAAAAACAUUCUUACUUAUAUUAUGGGACGGAGGGAGUACUUCCCUCAUUGGAAAAAUAAUAUCCGGCAAGUAAAUUAAGAGGUUGAAAUAUCUGAAUGCAGAGGAGUUAGUGUAAAGUAAAUAAAGAGGCUACAAGACCUUUCAGAUGGAGAUGGUGCAUACUUCAAACACUACUUCAAGCAACAUUCUCUCAAGCAACACUAGGAUAAGAAGCAUUCUUCAAUCGACACUUGUAUUUCCUCCACCUCGGCUCCCACAUCAUCAUUUGAGUGGUUCACGCAGGAAGUAAGUGUUGGGGAACGUAGUAAUUUCGAAAAAUUUCCUACGCACACGCAAGAUCAUGGUGAUGCAUAGCAACGAGAGGGGAGAGUGUGAUCUACGUACCCUUGUAGAUCGACAACGGAAGCGUUAGCACAACGUGGUUGAUGUAGUCAUACGUCUUCACGGCCCGACCGAUCAAGCACCGAAACUACGGCACCUCCGAGUUCUAGCACACGUUCAGCUCGAUGACGAUCCCCGGACUCCGAUCCAGCAAAGUGUCGGGGAAGAGUUCCGUCAGCAUGACGGCGUGGUGACGAUCUUGAUGUACCACUGUCGCAGGGCUUCGCCUAAGCACUGCUACAAUAUUAUCGAGGACUAUGGUGGAAGGGGGCACCGCACACGGCUAAGAAUAUGAUCACGUGGAUCAACUUGUGUGUCUAGGGGUGCUCCCUGCCUCCGUAUAUAAAGGUUCAAAGGGGGGGGGUGCGGCCGGCCAGGAGAGGGCGCGCCAGGAGGAGUCCUACUCCCUCCGGGAGUAGGAUCCCCCCUUUCCUAGUUGGAAUAGGAUUCGGGAAGGGGGAAAGAGGAGAGAGAGAAGGAAGGGGGGCGCCGACCCCCUCUCCUUGUCCUAUUCGGACUAGGGGGGAGGGGCGCGCGGCCCAGCCCUGGCCACCUCUCCUCUCUUCCACUAAAGCCCACUAAGGCCCAUAUACCUCCCGGGGGUUUCCGGUAACCUCCCGGUACUCCGGUAAAAUCCCGAUUUCACUCGGAACACUUCCGAUAUCCAAAUAUAGGCUUCCAAUAUAUCAAUCUUUAUGUCUAGACCAUUUUGAGACUCCUCGUCAUGUCCAUGAUCACAUCCGGGACUCCGAACAAACUUCGGUACAUCAAAAUGCAUAAACUCAUAAUAUAACUGUCAUGGAAACCUUAAGCGUGCGGACCCUACGGGUUCGAGAACAAUGUAGACAUGACCGAGACACGUCUCCGGUCAAUAACCAAUAGUGGAACCUAGAUGCUCAUAUUGGCUCCUACAUAUUCUACGAAGAUCUUUUAUCGGUCAGACCGCAUAACAACAUACAUUGUUCCCUUUGUCAUCGGUAUGUUACUUGCCCGAGAUUCGAUCGUCGGUAUCUCAAUACCUAGUUCAAUCUCGUUACCGGCAAGUCUCUUUACUCGUUCCGUGAUACAUCAUCUCACAACUAACUCAUUAGUUGCAAUCCUUGCAAGGCUUAUGUGAUGUGCAUUACCGAGAGGGCCCAGAGAUACCUCUCCGACAAUCGGAGUGACAAAUCCUAAUCUCGAAAUACGCCAACCCAACAUGUACCUUUGGAGACACCUGUAGAGCACCUUUAUAAUCACCCAUUUACGUUGUGACGUUUGGUAGCACACAAAGUGUUCCUCCGGCAAACAGGAGUUGCAUAAUCUCAUAGUCAUAGGAACAUGUAUAAGUCAUGAAGAAAGCAAUAGCAACAUACUAAACGAUCGGGUGCUAAGCUAAUGGAAUGGGUCAUGUCAAUCAGAUCAUUCACCUAAUGAUGUGAUCCCGUUAAUCAAAUAACAACUCUUUGUCCAUGGUUAGGAAACAUAACCAUCUUUGAUUAACGAGCUAGUCUAGUAGAGGCAUACUAGUGACACUCUGUUUGUCUAUGUAUUCACACAUGUAUUAUGUUUCCGGUUAAUAUAAUUCUAGCAUGAAUAAUAAACAUUUAUCAUGAUAUAAGGAAAUAAAUAAUAACUUUAUUAUUGCCUCUAGGGCAUAUUUCCUUCAGUCUCCCACUUGCACUAGAGUCAAUAAUCUAGAUUACACGGUAAUGAUUCUAACACCCAUGGAGCCUUGGUGCUGAUCAUGUUUUGCUCGUGGAAGAGGCUUAGUCAACGGGUUUGCUACAUUCAGAUCCGUAUGUAUCUUGCAAAUCUCUAUGUCUCCCACCUGGACUAGAUCCCGGAUGGAAUUGAAGCAUCUCUUGAUGUGCUUGGUUCUCUUGUGAAAUCUGGAUUCCUUUGCCAAGGCAAUUGCACCAGUAUUGUCACAAGAGAUUUUCAUUGGACCCGAUGCACUAGAUAUGACACCUAGAUCGGAUAUGAACUCCUUCAUCCAGACUCCUUCAUUUGCUGCUUCCGAAGCAGCUAUGUAUUCCGCUUCACACGUAGAUCCCGCCACGACGCUUUGUUUAGAACUGCACCAACUGACAGCUUCACCGUUUAAUGUAAAUACGUAUCCGGUUUGCGAUUUAGAAUCGUCCGGAUCAGUGUCAAAGCUCGCAUCGACGUAACCACUUACGAUUAGCUCUUUGUCACCUCCAUAAACGAGAAACAUAUCAUUGGUCCUUUUCAGGUAUUUCAGGAUGUUCUUGACCGCUGUCCAGUGAUCCACUCCUAGAUUAUUUUGGUACCUCCCUGCUAGACUUAUAGCAAGGUACACAUCAGGUCUGAUACACAGCAUUGCAUACAUGAUAGAGCCUAUGACUAAAGCAUAGGGAACAUCUUUCAUUUUCUCUCUAUCUUCUGCAGUGGUCGGGCAUUGAGUCUGACUCAACUUCACACCUUGUAACACAGGCAAGAAUCCUUUCUUUGCUUGAUCCAUUUUGAACUUCUUCAAAACUUUGUCAAGGUAUGUGCUUUGUGAAAGUCCAAUUAAGCGUCUUGAUCUAUCUCUAUAGAUCUUUAUGCCUAAUAUGUAAGCAGCUUCACCGAGGUCUUUCAUUGAAAAACUCUUAUUCAAGUAUCCCUUUAUACUAUCCAGAAAUUCUAUAUCAUUUCCAAUUAGUAAUAUGUCAUCCACAUAUAAUAUCAGAAAUGCUACAGAGCUCCCACUCACUUUCUUGUAAAUACAGACUUCUCCAAAAGUCUGUAUAAAACCAAAUGCUUUGAUCACACUAUCAAAGAGUUUAUUCCAACUCCGAGAGGCUUGCACCAGUCCAUAAAUAGAUCGCUGGAGCUUGCACGCUUUGUUAGCUCCCUUUGGAUCGACAAAACCUUAUGGUUGCAUCAUAUACAACUCUUCUUUCAGAAAUCCAUUCAGGAAUGCAGUUUUGACAUCCAUUUGCCAAAUUUCAUAAUCAUAAAAUGCGGCAAUUGCUAACAUGAUUCGGACAGACUUAAGCAUCGCUACGGGUGAGAAGGUCUCAUCGUAGUCAAUCCCUUGAACUUGUCGGAAACCUUUUGCGACAAGUCGAACUUUGUAGACAGUAAUAUUACCGUCAGCGUCAGUCUUCUUCUUGAAGAUCCAUUUAUUCUCAAUUGCUUGCCGAUCAUUGGGAAAGUCAACCAAAGUCCAUACUUUGUUCUCAUACAUGGAUCCCAUCUCAGAUUUCAUGGCUUCAAGCCAUUUUGCGGAAUCUGGGCUCACCAUCGCUUCUUCAUAGUUCGUAGGUUCAUCAUGAUCUAGUAGCAUGACUUCCAGAACAGGAUUACCGUACCACUCUGGCGCGGAUCUCACUCUGGUUGAUCUACGAGGUUCAGUAGUAUCUUGUUCUGAAGUUUCAUGAUCAUUAUUAUUAGCUUCUUCACUAAUUGGUGUAGGUGUCACAGAAACAGGUUUCUGUGAUGUACUACUUUCCAAUAAGGGAGUAGGUACAGUUACCUCGUCAAGUUCUACUUUCCUCCCACUCACUUCUUUCGAGAGAAACUUCUUCUCUAGAAAGUUUCCGAAUUUAGCAACAAAAGUCUUGCCUUCGGAUCUGUGAUAGAAGGUGUAUCCAAUAGUUUCCUUUGGAUAUCCUAUGAAGACACAUUUCUCCGAUUUGGGUUCGAGCUUAUCAGGUUGAAGCUUUUUCACAUAAGCAUCGCAGCCCCAAACUUUCAGAAAUGACAACUUUGGUUUCUUGCAAACCACAGUUCAUAAGGCGUCGUCUCAACGGAUUUUGAUGGUGCCCUAUUUAACGUGAAUGCAGCCGUCUCUAAAACGUAUCCCUAAAACGAUAGCGGUAAAUCAGUAAGAGACAUCAUAGAUCGUACCAUAUCUAGUAAAGUACGAUUACGACGUUCGGACACACCAUUACGCUGUGGUGUUCCGGGUGGCGUGAGUUGCGAAACUAUUCCACAUUGUUUCAAAUGUACACCAAACUUGUAACUCAAAUAUUCUCCACCACGAUCAGAUCGUAGGAAUUUUAUUUUCUUGUUAUGAUGAUUUUCAACUUCACUCUGAAAUUCUUUGAACUUUUCAAACGUUUCAGACUUUUGUUUCAUUAAGUAGAUAUACUCAUAUCUGCUUAAGUCAUCUGUGAAGGUGAGAAAAUAACGAUAUCCGCCACUAGCCUCAACAUUCAUCGGACCACAUACAUCUGUAUGUAUAAUUUCUAAUAAAUCUAUUGCUCUCUCCAUAGUACCGGAGAACGGUGUUUUUGUCAUCUUACCCAUAAGGCACGGUUCGCAAGUACCAAGUGAUUCAUAAUCAAGUGGUUCCAGAAGCCCAUCAGUAUGGAGUUUCUUCAUGCGCUUUAUACCGAUAUGACCUAAACGGCAGUGCCACAAAUAAGUUGCACUAUCAUUAUCAACCCUGCAUCUUUUGGUUUCAACACUAUGAAUAUGUGUGUCACUACUAUCGAGAUUUAAUAUGAAUAGACCAUUCUUUAAGGGUGCAUGACCAUAAAAGAUAUUACUCAUGUAAAUAGAACAACCAUUAUUAUUCUCUGAUUUAAAUGAAUAACCGUCUCGCAUCAAACAAGAUCCAGAUAUAAUGUUCAUGCUUAACGCUGGCACCAAAUAACAAUUAUUUAGGUCUAAUAUUAAUCCCGAAGGUAGAUGUAGAGGUAGCGUGCCGACUGCGAUCACAUCGACUUUGGAACCGUUUCCCACGCGCAUCGUCACCUCGUCCUUAGCCAAUCUUCGCUUAAUCCGUAGUCUCUGUUUCGAGUUGCAAAUAUUAGCAACAGAACCAGUAUCAAAUACCCAGGUGCUACUGCGAGCAUUAGUAAGGUACACAUCAAUAACAUGUAUAUCACAUAUACCUUUGUUCACCUUGCCAUCCUUCUUAUCUGCCAAAUACUUGAGGCAGUUCCGCUUCCAGUGACCAGUCUGCUUGCAGUAGAAGCACUCAGUUCCAGGCUUAGGUCCAGGUUUGGGUUUCUUUUCUUGAGCAGCAACUUGCUUGCUGUUCUUUUUGUAGUUCCCCUUCUUCUUCCCUUUGCCCUUUUUCUUAAAACUAGUGGUCUUGUUGACCAUCAACACUUGAUGCUCCUUCUUGAUUUCUACCUCCGCGGCUUUCAGCAUUGCGAAGAGCUCGGGAAUAGUCUUAUUCAUCCCUUGCAUAUUAUAGUUCAUCACAAAGCUCUUGUAGCUUGGUGGCAGUGAUUGGAGAAUUCUGUCAAUGACGCAAUCAUCUGGAAGAUUAACUCCCAAUUGAAUCAAGUGAUUAUUAUACCCAGACAUUUUGAGUAUAUGCUCACUGACAGAACUGUUCUCCUCCAUCUUGCAGCUAUAGAACUUAUUAGAGACUUCAUAUCUCUCAAUCCGGGCAUUUGCUUGAAAUAUUAACUUCAACUCCUGGAACAUCUCACAUGCUCCAUGACGUUCAAAACGUCGUUGAAGUCCCGAUUCUAAGCCGUAAAGCAUGGCACACUGAACUAUCGAGUAGUCAUCAGCUUUGCUCUGCCAGACGUUCAUAACAUCUGGUGUUGCUCCAGCAGCAGGCCUGGCAUCCAGCGGUGCUUCCAGGACGUAAUUCUUCUGUGCAGCAAUGAGGAUAAUCCUCAAGUUACGGACCCAGUCCGUGUAAUUGCUACCAUCAUCUUUCAACUUUGCUUUCUCAAGGAACGCAUUAAAAUUCAACAGAACAAUAGCACGGGCCAUCUAUCUACAAUCAUAAAUAAGCAAGAUACUAUCAGGUACUAAGUUCAUGAUAAAUUUAGGUUCAAUUAAUCAUAUUACUUAAGAACUCCCACUUAGAUAGACAUCCCUCUAAUCCUCUAAGUGAUUACGUGAUCCAAAUCAACUAAACCAUGUCCGAUCAUCACGUGAGAUGGAGUAGUUUCAUUGGUGAACAUCGCUAUGUUGAUCAUAUCUGCUAUAUGAUUCACGCUCGACCUUUCGGUCUCCGUGUUCCGAGGCCAUAUCUGUAUAUGCUUGGCUCGUCAAGUAUAACCUGAGUAUUCCGCGUGUGCAACUGUUUUGCACCCGUUGUAUUUGAACGUAGAGCCUAUCACACCCGAUCAUCACGUGGUGUCUCAGCACGAAGAACUUUCGCAACGGUGCAUACUCAGGGAGAACACUUCUUGAUAAUUAGUGAGAGAUCAUCUUAUAAUGCUACCGUCAAUCAAAGCAAGAUAAGAUGCAUAAAAGAUAAACAUCACAUGCAAUCAAUAUAAGUGAUAUGAUAUGGCCAUCAUCUUCUUGUACUUGUGAUCUCCAUCUCCGAAGUACCAUGAUCAUCAUCGUCACCGGCGCGACACCUUGAUCAUCAUCGUAGCAUCGUUGUCGUCUCGCCAAUCUUAUGCUUCCACGACUAUCGCUACCGUUUAGUAAUAAAGUAAAGCAUUACAGCGCAGUUGCAUUGCAUACAAUAAAGUGACAACCAUAUGGCUCCUGCCAGUUGCCGAUAACUCAGUUACAAAACAUGAUCAUCUCAUACAAUAAAAUUUAGCAUCAUGUCUUGACCAUAUCACAUCACAACAUGCCCUGCAAAAACAAGUUAGACGUCCUCUACUUUGUUGUUGCAAGUUUUACGUGGCUGCUACGGGCUUAAGCAAGAACCAAUCUUACCUACGCAUCAAAACCACAAUGAUAGUUUGUCAAGUUGAUGUUGUUUUAACCUUCGCAAGGACCGGGCGUAGCCACACUCGGUUCAACUAAAGUUGGAGAAACUGACACCCGCUAGCCACCUUUGUGCAAAGCACGUAGGGAGAACCGGUCUCGCGUAAGCGUACGCGUAAUGUCGGUCCGGGCCGCUUCGUCCAACAAUACCGCCGAACCAAAGUAUGACAUGCUGGUAAGAAGUAUGACUUAUAUCACCCACAACUCACUUGUGUUCUACUCGUGCAUAUAACAUCAACAUAUAAAACCUAGGCUCGGAUGCCACUGUUGGGGAACAUAGUAAUUUCAAAAAAAUUCCUACGCACACGCAAGAUCAUGGUGAUGCAUAGCAACGAGAGGGCAGAGUGUGAUCUACGUACCCUUGUAGAUCGACAACGGAAGCGUUAGCACAACAUGGUUGAUGUAAUCAUACGUCUUCACGGCCCGACCGAUCAAGCACCGAAACUACGGCACCUCCAAGUUCUAGCACACGUUCAGCUCGAUGACGAUCCCCGGACUUCGAUCCAGCAAAGUGUCGGGGAAGAGUUCCGUCAGCACGACGGCGUGGUGACGAUCUUGAUGUACCACUGUCGCAGGGCUUCGCCUAAGCACCGCUACAAUAUUAUCGAGGACUAUGGUGGAAGGGGGCACCGCACACGGCUAAGAAUAUGAUCACGUGGAUCAACUUAUGUGUCUAGGGGUGUUCCCUGCCUCCGUAUAUAAAGGUUCAAAGGGAGGGUGCGGCCGGCCAGGAGAGGGCGCGCCAGGAGGAGUACUACUCCCUCCGGGAGUAGGAUCCCCCCCCCCUUUUCUAGUUGGAAUAGGAUUCAGGAAGGGGGAAAGAGGAGAAAGAGAAGGAAGGGGGGCGCCGGCCCCCUCUCCUUGUCCUAUUCGGACUAGGGGGGGAGGGGCGCGCGGCCCAGCCCUGGCCACCUCUCCUCUCUUCCACUAAAGCCCACUAAGGCCCAUAUACCUCCCGGGGGGUUCCGGUAACCUCCCGGUACUCCGGUAAAAUCCCGAUUUCACCCGGAACACUUCCGAUAUCCAAAUAUAGGCUUCCAAUAUAUCAAUCUUUAUGUCUCGACCAUUUCGAGACUCCUCGUCAUGUCCGUGAUCACACCCGGGACUCCGAACAAACUUCGGUACAUCAAAAUGCAUAAACCCAUAAUAUAACUGUCAUCGAAACCUUAAGCGUGCGGACCCUACGGGUUCGAGAACAAUGUAGACAUGACUGAGACACGUCUCCGGUCAAUAACCAAUAGCGGAACCUGGAUGCUCAUAUUGGCUCCUACAUAUUCUACGAAGAUCUUUUAUCGGUCAGACCGCAUAACAACAUACGUUGUUCCCUUUGUCAUCGGUAUGUUACUUGCCCGAGAUUCGAUCAUCGGUAUCUCAAUACCUAGUUCAAUCUCGUUACCGGCAAGUCUCUUUACUCGUUCCGUAAUACAUCAUCUCACAACUAACUCAUUAGUUGCAAUGCUUGCAAGGCUUAUGUGAUGUGCAUUACCGAGAGGGCCCAGAGAUACCUCUCCAACAAUCGGAGUGACAAACCCUAAUCUCGAAAUACGCCAACCCAACAUGUACCUUUGGAGACACCUGUAGAGCACCUUUAUAAUUACCCAUUUAUGUUGUGACGUUUGGUAGCACACAAAGUGUUCCUCCGGCAAACGGGAGUUGCAUAAUCUCAUAAUCAUAGGAACAUGUAUAAGUCAUGAAGAAAGCAAUAGCAACAUACUAAAUGAUCGGGUGCUAAGCUAAUGGAAUGGGUCAUGUCAAUCAGAUCAUUCACCUAAUGAUGUGAUCCCGUUAAUCAAAUAACAACUCUUUGUCCAUGGUUAGGAAACAUAACCAUCUUUGAUUAACGAGCUAGUCUAGUAGAGACAUACUAGUGACACUCUAUUUGUCUAUGUAUUCACACAUGUAUUAUGUUUCCGGUUAAUACAAUUCUAGCAUGAAUAAUAAACAUUUAUCAUGAUAUAAGGAAAUAAAUAAUAACUUUAUUAUUGCCUCUAGGGCAUAUUUCCUUCAGUAAGUACAUCGGAUAUCCUUAUAGCUGGUAAAAAAAAAGAGGUGUUUAAAAUAUCAAAAACAGAAGAUAUUUCUCGGCAGCAAAGGAAAAAUGAUUUUAACAGUAAUAUGCAGUUCCAAUGCUAAAUAAUCUAAUCGAUACAUAAACAAAGAUGGGGAUUAGUAUGGCUGCGUUUCUGCAAUGCACUAUCUGUGGCAAUACUCACAAAAUUAUAUGUACCUCUGACCACUCUUCUAUUAGAGAGGAUUCACAGGUAUAGUGUCCUUACAUAAUUCCUUCCAUAAAAAAGUGAGAUACAAAGUAAUGCUACUGAAAGGACAAGUUGUACAGCCACUUAUUCUUGUUUUCUAGUACUUCUCAGUCCUGAGUCCUGACAUAUACUAACUCGUGAAUCUUCAAGCUAGCUACUCAAAUUCUUUCAUUGUGCAAGGUUGUGCCAUGUGUUGGGCACUACUAGAUUUUCAAGCUGUGGAGGUACGUAAGAAGAACUCCUUGGACUUGGAGGUACCACUGGACAAAUGACCAAUCUGCUGUAGCUUACUAAGUCCUGUCAUUGUCCACUUAAUAUUUUUGAGCCAUACUAGCUAAUUUCCAAGAGAGGGGAGACGUUCCCAACUUAAUUAAGCAGUAACUCAACUAAAGUGACACCAGGCUUUUUAUACAGAGGUCCUCAAUCAGAAAUGGAAGGUUGACGCCGGUGUAACCUGAAAUUUCCAAUUUCCUAACAAUACAAUGUGGCUCAAGGUGGUCAAGAACUAACUCAUCAAUAUUGUCUGGAUCAGCAGAAGAAGACCAACUGAGAGACAAAGAAUUGAGAGAUAUAAUUUCAUUCAAUUUGACAUCCUUAGCUACUUCGGGAUUCUUCUCAAGCCUGCUUACUUAUAGCGUGCGGAGAAUUUUUAAGCUCUUGACUGCACUUAAUUUGCUACCUAUGCUUUCUUCUACCCGGUAGUUAUUUAACUCCUCAAGAAGAGUGAGUAUCACAGCAGAGAAUUCACCAAGUCCUCGUUGGUUUUGAGGAAGAGACAUAUUAGAAUAUCCAUACGAUACAUAUCGCAAGCGAUCAAGGAUCCCGAAAUAUAGCAUUCUGCCGAAGAAUGUCCCCUUCCCAAGAACCAAUAGUGUUGCGGUAAAAUAGCAUCAAAGUGAUAUAGUUUAGUAACCGCGCACAUCCCCUCUGGUGAUAUUUUUUGCAGCUUAAGAUAGCGAAGGUGUUUCAAUUUGCCACAUUUGACAGUGUGUUCUACUAUAUGACACAGUCUUGAACAGAAGAGACGCAAAAACUUCGAGGUUUCAACAACUCUUUCAAGUGCACAAACUACAUUGUGAGUCUCAUACAUACUUUCAUCAAUGAUAAUAGUAUGCAGAUACUUAUAUUUAGAUAUUUUCCUGAUAGUAGCUCUCAAUAUUAGCAUACUUAUAUCAAUGAUAAUAGUACGCUCUCGGUCGCCACCACGUGACGCACUUUGGGCGCUCCCUUCGGAUUUUAUUUUUAUUUUUUCACACACGUUUCCGGCUUUUUAGAUGGUUUUUCCUGGGUUUUUUUUUUUCUGUUUUUCGGUUUUUCACUGGUCUUUCUUAGCUUUUUAACGAAAAAUAUGCGUGAAAAAACACGUUUUCUUUUUCUGCUUCCGCAAGACGCACGGCCAUGCCUCUAGAAAACAGAUAAAAAAUGUGUUUUCUUUUUUUUUCUUUCGUGAGAGACACGGUUUUGCUACCGCAGGAGAUACGGCCGUGCCUCUCGAAAACGGGGAAACAAAUAUGUGUUCUCUUUUUUUCCUUCCGUGGAAGGCACGAUUUUGCUUCAGCAAGAGGCACGAUUUUGCUUUGGCGAGAGGCACGGCUGUGCCACUCGGAAAUGAAAAAAAUAACGUGUUUUAUCUUCUUUUUUUCUUUCACGAGAGGCAUGGUUUUGCUUUCGCGAGAGGCAUGGCCAUGCCUCCCGAAAACGAAAAAAACACGAUUUUCUCUUUUUUCUUUUUCUUCUGUGGGAGGCACAGUUUUGCUUUCGCGAGAGGCACGCUCAGAAACGGCUUUCGGAAAGGAAAAAAUGUGCCCCCCGUUCCGUUUUUUCGUCUAGUUUUCUUGUAAGGUUUUUUUCUAAAGAAAAUAGUUCAUCAAAACCUUCAACAUGGGGCCUAGUUUUAAAGAUCUCGACGCAAGAAAUCCAAUGAUGAAAAUAGUUCAAGAUUUGGUCGCACGGUUUAAGAGGUAAAAUAUUUUAAAUAGACGGAUCUACGCAAAAAAAAGGAAAAAAAAUUGAUCGCACAAAAGUCCUGUCAUUGUCAACUUAAUAUUUUUUUGAGCCAUACUAGCUAAUUUCCAAGUGAGAGGAGACGUUCCCAACUUAAUUCAGCAGUACCUCAACUCAAGUGGCACCAGGUUUUUUAUACAGAGGUCCUCAAUCCAAAAUGGAAGUUUGACGCCGGUGUAACCUGAAAUUUCCAAUUUCCUGACAUUACAAUGUGGCUCAAGGUGGUCAAGAACUAACUCAUCAAUAUUGUCUGGAUCAGCAGAAGAAGAUCAACUGAGAGACAAAGAAGUGAGAGAAAUAAUUCCAUUCAAUUUGACAUCCUUAGCUACUUCGGGAUUCUUCUCAAGCCUGCUUACUUGUAGCAUGCGGGGAAUUUUUAAGAGAAUCUCUAGCAGCCCCAUAUAAUGCCGACCCGCAAAAUGCGUUUAUAGUUUACUGCAGAUGAAAUUUGCGAGUCGAAUUCAUGCGCUGCAGAUCAAACCCGUACAUGAAACUGUAAAAUUUAAAAAAGCAUCCACGGGACAAACUUGCAACGACAUUGAUCAUACAUUACUUCAUCUACAUAUUACAUUGGUCAUACAUAGUUCAUCUACAUUGAUCAUACUAGUGAGGGAAUCUGCAGGCCCGAGCCUAGGUACCAAAAACGACGAGCUCGUGUCGGAGGAGUCGAGGUCGAUGAAGAACUUGGCCUGCUCCGCCUUCGUGACACGCAGGUCUGCCUCCUUAGACGUGCGCGCCUGCAACGCCGCGACGCCCGUCUUGAGGAACAUCUGCUCAUACUCGAGCUCACGGCAACGGUGCGCUUCGGCCUCCUCCUGCUCCCUCGCUGACCUCUCCAUGACGAUGCGCUCUAGGUGCUCCUCCUNNNNNNNNNNNNNNNNNNNNNNNNNNNNNNNNNNNNNNNNNNNNNNNNNNNNNNNNNNNNNNNNNNNNNNNNNNNNNNNNNNNNNNNNNNNNNNNNNNNNNNNNNNNNNNNNNNNNNNNNNNNNNNNNNNNNNNNNNNNNNNNNNNNNNNNNNNNNNNNNNNNNNNNNNNNNNNNNNNNNNNNNNNNNNNNNNNNNNNNNNNNNNNNNNNNNNNNNNNNNNNNNNNNNNNNNNNNNNNNNNNNNNNNNNNNNNNNNNNNNNNNNNNNNNNNNNNNNNNNNNNNNNNNNNNNNNNNNNNNNNNNNNNNNNNNCUCGAGCUUGGCAGCGAGCAGCCCGAACUCCUCCGGCUCUCUCUUCACCAAAGUGAGCCGCGAGCUCGAGGCGCCCGCGGAUGAGCUCCCCGCGGCAGAGGGGCCGAAUGAGGCGUGGCGGCGGCGGGCGAGAUCACGCUCGUGCUCGACCAGCUCGCGACCUUUGAACUCCGGCGGCGGCCGGCUCCCACAGUUGAGCCACCUCCGCGCCCCCCGCUUGCAUGCAACGUCGGAUUUGGCGCGGCGGUGGCGCUCCGCAUUAUCCCAGAGCUCCCGUAGCCAUCCAUGGCUUUUUCAGGCGCGGCGGCGGUGAGAAAUUGGGCGGAGAAGGAGGGGAAUCGCGGCGGAGCGGCAGCAGAGGUGGAUAGGGUUUGACCAGUAUCCGAGCAGUGAAACCGCAUAUAUAGCGGUGGGGGAGAGUUUUUGUGGGCCACGGUAAAAAAUUACAGGCCAGGCCAUGGAUACGAUGUCUAUUAUGGCUAGAAAAAUGGGUCAAAUCCGUAUACUCACCGGAAUUAUACGAAUUCGGCCCUUUUACGGGGUCUGCUAGAGAUGCUCUAAGCUCUUGACUGCAUUUAGUUUGUUACCUAUGCUUUCUUCUACCCGGUAGUUAUUUAACUCCUGAAGACGAGUGAGUAUGACAGCAGAGAAUUCACCAAGUCCUCAUUGGUUUUGAGGAAGAGACAUAUUAGAAUAUCCAUACGAUACAUAUCGCAAGCGAUCAAGGAUCCCGAAAUAUAACAUUCUGCCGAAGAAUGUCCCCUUCCCAAGAACCAAUAGUGUUGCAGUAAAAUAGCAUCAAGUGAUAUAGUUCAGUAACCGCGCACAUCCCCUCUGGGUGAUAUUUUUUGCAGCUUGAGAUAGUGAAGGUGUUUCAAUUUGCCACAUUUGACAGUGUGUUCUACUAUAUGACACAGUCUUGAACAGAAGAGACGCAAAAACUUCGAGGUUUCAACAACUCUUUCAAGUACACAAACUACAUUGUGAGUCUCAUACAUACUUUCAUCAAUGAUAAUAGUAUGCAGAUACUUAUAUUUCGAUAUUUUCCUGACAGUAGCUGUCAAUAUUGGCAUACUUAUAUCAAUGAUAAUAGUACGCUCUCAGCCGUCGCCGUGUGACGCACUCUGGGCGCUCCCUCCCGUUUUUUUUAUUUAUUUUUUUCGCACACGUUUUUGGCUUUUUCGAUGGGGUUUCCCGGUUUUUUUAUGUUUUUUGGUUUUCCACCUGUCUUCCUUACGUUUUUGACAAAAAAACGCGUGAAAAAACGUGUUUUUUUUCUUCCGCGAGAGGCAUGGCCAUGCCUCUAGAAAAUAGAUAAAAAAUGUGUUUUCUUUUUUUUCUUUCAUGAGAGUCACAGUUUUGCUAUCACGAGAGAUACGGCCGUGCCUCAAGAAAACAGAAAAAAAAAUAUGUUUUAUCUUUUUUCCCUUUCGUGGGAGACACGGUUUUGUUUCAGUAGGAGCCACGGUUUUGCUUCGGCGACAGCCACGACCGUGCCACUCGUAAAUGAAAAAGAAAAACGUGUUUUCUCUUCUUCUUUUUUCCUUCCGUGAGAGGCACGAUUUUGCUUCAGCGAUAGGCACGGCCGUGUCUCUCGGAACCAAAAAAAACAUGAUUUUCUCUUUUUCUUUUCCUUUUGUGGGAGGCACGGUUUUGCUUCCGCGAGAGGCACACUCGAAAACGGCUUUCUGAAAGGGAAAAAAUGUGCUCCCGGUUUGGUUUCUUCGUCCGGUUUUUUUGUAUGGUUUUUUUCCUAAAGAAAAUAGUUCACCAAAACCUUGAACAUGGGGUUUAGUUUUGAAGAUCUUGACACAAGGAAUCCAACAAUGUAAAAAGUUCGAGAUUUGACCGCAUGGUUUAAGAGAUAAAAUAUUUUACAUAAACGAAUCUACAAAAAAAAACACACAAGUUAUGACAAGUGGCGCACAUGCAACGUGCAACUUGUCACAACCUGAAAGGGUGAAAGUGAUCUUUGGAAGGAGUGCUCCUCAAAUGGCGGCGAGCCUAUAUCUCGCAUACAGCGAAGACAUAUGGCUGCCACCUGAAGCGAGCGCUAGAUGGCCUAGCCCAGCGAACGGAGGCCACAGGCCUCAAAAGCGCUUGUUUUUUCAUAGUUUCUUUUUCAUUUUUUCUUAUUUGAUUUCUUUUUUACUUUUUGUUAUGUAAAUAUUUGGCAUAUUUUCUAAAAUAAUGUUAAUCAAGCAUUUGAAAAUGCCAAAUGUGUAUAUAUAGAAUGUUUCUGAUGUAUACACAAAUGUAAAAUGCGUAUGGAAUAAAGUAAACAUAAAAAAUAUAAGUUUUCAAAAAAAAAUUCAUGUACUUGAAAAAUGUUCAUUUAUAUGAAAAAAUUGAUGUAUACAAAAAAUAUAGAAUUCGUAUGGGCAGUAGAUAGCAAAACAUUAUAUGCUUUUAAAAAUGUUAAUCAUGUAUUUCGAAAAUGCUAAACAUGUGUACGUAAAAUGGUAAACAUGUACAUAAAAAUGUAUCAGAUAUAUAAGAAAAAUGUAGGAUGUGUACGAAAAAAAUAGACAUAAGAACAUAUAUUUGAAAAAAUAUUAUUCAUAUAUUUGAAAAACUUUAAACAUCUGUUAAAAAUGCUUUAGAUGUAUACCAAAAAAGCAUAGUGUGUAUACAAACAAUAGACAUUGAAACAUUUUUUUUAAAAAAAUUUAACCAUGUAUUUAGACAGUAAACAUUUAAUAAAAAAUGUCCAUGGCGUAUAUGAAAAAAUUUAGAAAGAAAACCAAAAAGGAAAUAAAGAAAAACGAACAAAACCAAUAAAAACCAAAAAGGAAACAAAGAAAAUCAAAGAAAAAUGAAACAAAGAAUAAAACCACUGAAACAAGUUGCAAAAAAUAGAAAACAAUGAAAACUGAGAAAAUGAAAACAAAGAAAUAAACAAAGAAACUUGAAGAGAAAGAAAAGAAAUAUCAAUGAAAACCAAGAAAGAAACCAAAGAAAAACAAAGGAAACAAAAAGUAAGUAUGAUGACAAAAAAGAAAAACCAAAGAAAACUGAUGAAGGAAUAAGAAAACCAAAUAAAUCAAACUCAUCAGCGCACAGACUGACGAACAAACAACCAAGUAACACGCUAUUCGGAUGGCUCAUGCGCGGGCGCGCUGCGGGGAAGCUUCAGCCAAUUGGAGCUAUCAGCUCGCUAUAAGCGAGAUAUAGCUCCCGCAGCGACCAGUGGGCUACACGUUGGUUUCCCAGUUCCUCGAUCAAUCAGUGUUCUUCGCCUAAAGAAACAUCACACUCGACUAAUUGACAAGUCAUGCAAUGAGGCUAGAUCAGGUUGCAGGGAGGUAGCCGGCACGCAGGACGCAGCCACACACACACACGGCAAAGCGUGGGGAAACUGAGAUAUUAAUCAGUUUGCGAAUAGGGCUCCUUUCUUUUGUUAUUUUCAUUCAUUUCAUCUUUGUUGUACAUGUGCAUUGGUUUACUAAUUUUGGUAUUGUCAUCUCUUGUUUGCGUUCAAAUUGUUUUGGGACGGUAGUUGCCUAGUUGCUCAAGCUGUCACAUAUCCAAGAUUUUCAAGAUAGUUGCUUUUUCAAAAUAAAUGUAGAGUCUUUUAGCAUUUAUAUUUGAUACACUUCUAACUAUUGUACCGAACAACACAUAUUAAAGUUAUAUAAUUCCCUCGAGAAAAAAGUUAUAUUUUUUUAAAACACAGUACAAAUAUAGAUGCUCACGUACACGCAAAUACACUUGGCAAAUUUAUGAAUACAGUGCCAAGUCUUGAACUUGAAUCAUGGUGGACGGGAGAUUGAGGAGGAAGCAUGCCGAGGAUAAAUGGACCGUAUAGAUUUCAGCUUACGAAAAGAAAGAUUUUGUUCAUAUUUCAUUCUUCACAAGUAGAUGGACGUUAUACACAGUUACACACUAGAUGGACCAUACAAGUAUGCACAGGUAAAUUGUUCAUAAUGAUUAAUCUAAUGGUUCUUCAAAAUACUACGAAACACCAGAAUUGUAUUCACAAUAGACACUAGCUACUACGUUUCAUCUAAGCAAAUAGAAAGAAAAAAGAAGAAUAACCGUCUUAUUGUUCUCAAUGUUCAUACCAUUGGCUUAGGUUGUACGUAGCACAAAAUCAAGCAAGUAGAAAAUUACAAAAGUUCCCACUCACAAUUGAACAAAACCGAGCACAAAAAGGCCCCCUUCACUAGGCCUAGACACUACCCAAACUAUCAACUAGAAAUAGUGAUCCAACCCAAGAAGAGAACUCCACCGUCAACUGUCAUCGAACAUCAGACGCAAGUGUACAGCUGGCAACUUAACAUCUCGCCAAAAGUUGGCGACUGAAAAACAAAAUCAGGUUCAGAAGCAAUACAAAACGAGAAACACAUAUGCAAUCGUACGCCUGAAGCAGGUGCCAGCCCUGUUUCGGAACCAUGCGCAUCCCUUGAGACCUGCUUGAACCACUUUCCUCUCCACACGAGUAGAUUUUUGGUUCACUGAUUUCAAUGCAACAAUGACUGGUUUCAGAACCGUGAAAGUAUCUGGCCGGUUUCAGAUCAACGAUACUAUCCGCUACGCCGGUCUUGUGGCAGGUUCUUUCCCUAUGUCUCUUAUUCCUGCACAUCGUCAACGGCAUAUACCGUUCCGGUUUUGAGUCUGUUCUUUCUUAUUCUUGUGUAGAUUGAUGUCACCUUUCGCUAUACUAAAAACGAAGAGAUUCUACUACCGAAGUGCAAAAUAUGGAAAAAUGAAUUGGUGGAGUUUGUUGCUUGCUUUGAGGAAGAUGGUUUGUUUAUAUAGAAAGUAAAAGCUGUAUCUACGUACAAAUGAAGUUUACGUUGGUGGCCCAUUUAUUUGUUGUAACUUUAUUAUCCAACGUUGAAUGACUUGGAACACAUUUGGUUGCCUCCACGGUGCUCAUUGAGUGGCACACGCUAAUUUGCUUGUUUUGAAAAGGAAAAGUGGGCAUGUUUAUAGGAUUGUGGUUGUUUACUUCAAAAUACUCUGGAUAUUAUUAUUUUUUGCAGGGUAAAUACUCUUGAUAUGUUUAAUUCUAUUGGUAACACGUACAUACACAGGGGAUACACAAGGAGACCAUGUGAAUUUAUAUAUUUUUUAAAAGGAGGAUAACCCUCGGCCUCUGCAUCAGGACGAUGCAUGCAGCCAUAUAUUAUUAAUAGUGCAAAAUCCAGCAGCUGAACGCCAUUGACCCGGAAAUAAAGCGAAAAACAAACCCUGGGGCCUUAUAUCUUGCGACAGUACCUCGCCCAGAUAGCCACUAAUCCCUAUGAUACAAGACACGUCACAAACAAAAAAUAUACUCCUAGGUUGCGCCUUCAAGAAGGGAUCGCCGCACGUGCACCGAUGAUGGCGAGUCCACCACAAGAUUGAACUACGGAUUCUCAUCCCCAAAGCCAAGCUUCAAUCCACUAUGUUCAGCAAGGACACGACACAGGCGCGCGACGACAUAGUCUGAUCAGAGACUCGUCGUUGAAGCCGUCUGUACCAUCCGUCCUUAUCUGUCUACUGACACCUCGAUAGCCGAAAACCUCUUGAGGAGACAACGGAAGACAAAGACGUCCCAUACCGCCUACCUCCCGCUACUGUCGCACCACCUUGGAUCUGACAGGAACUGGCUAAACAUGACACCUCCAUCAGAGCCACCGUGCAUCACCUGCCAGUAGUAGGCAUGACUUGACGUCUCCAUAUAAGACGCCAUGCGUAGCAUCGGCCGGUAGCACAUCCACCGGUGGCUUCAACUGCCGCUGACAGGCACCGCCCGACAACUCCGAAAGAGGCACAUGUGUAACCCGACGAGCCGCAUUGAACCCGGUCUGUUGAUGGAAGGGACGUCCCAUGCCGCCACCAGCCUCAGAAGGCCCCACCUUGAGAUCCAGACUCUGAAUCGCCCACACAAUCCCGAAGUCCGCCGCCGUUGAUGAAAAGGGUCCGCCACCCCGAUUACGGGCUCUACAGGGAGCACCCACCAUCGCGCCAGCGGUUGUCGUUGCCCAUACAACAACAACCGCCGCCGCGGUCCCGCAUCAAGCGCCGUCGAUGCCGGAGGAAGCUUCGACCUCCACUCGCAUCCUGCGACGUCCCCGGGUGCAGGAUCCCAAGAUCCGCCCCCACAAGAACCUACCAUCUGGCCCGUCAUCCCCGGCGGAGGGGACACCGCCACCGCCAUGUUUGGAUUCGGGCCGGAGUCGCCACCGCCUCUGCCAAGACCGGAUCCAGGCCGGCCGCCACUGCCGCCACCACCGGCCACGCACAAACACCUCCAGCAGGAGCCACUGCGCCGUCAUGGAUCUCGGAACAGGCCGCACCUCCACGGAUCUAACGCCCUCGCCGCCUUACAGCCCGAGAAGGAGGAGCGGCCUCCGCCGCUGCCGUCAAACGCACAAAAGAGAAACCGAAUGCGGGUCUAUCUAGAGGAUCCAGAAUCACAAGGUUUGGAUUAGAUCCGAACUCCAAAAGGCACCUGAGAACCAAAGUAUUUUUCUCCUGAACAAAAAAUGCCUUUCAACAAUUACAGAAGUUCAAGGGGUCCCCACUCACAAUUACACAGAACUAGCAAAAAAGGCCCUUCAACUAGAUCUAGAUAUUACCCCAACUGGAGUAUCAGCUAUAAACACUAUUGAUCCAACCAAAGAAGAGAACUCUACCGUUAGCAGUUGCCUGACAUCAGCCGCAAGCCUACUUCAAAAUGAGAAACACACAUGCAAUCCAAAAUGAGAACAUCAGCCGCAACUGAGCAUCUCCCCAGAGGUUCACGCGACGAGAAACAGAAGAAAGUAGUCCAAAAUGAGAAACACACAUGCAAUCCUACGCUGAAGUAAGUGCCAUCCCUGUGCGGAACCAUACACCUCCCUUAAUAACACAUGCUCGAAUGGUUGUGUUCCCCACGGCAAUAGAUUAUUCUGUCACUAAUUUCUAUGCAACAACAUGCUUGAGAACCACGAAAGUAUCUGGCUGGUUUCAGAACUGAGAGUAUAUACUUCCCCAUGUCUCUUAUUCCUGCGCAUUGUCUACAGCAUACACCGUUUUGGUUUUCAGACUAUUCUUUCAUAUGCUUGUGUGGAUUUCCGUCACCAAUCACUAUACCAAAAUACUGAAAAUGAGGAGUUUGUACUGCCGGGGUGUCAAAUAUGGAUAAAUGAGAUGGUGGGUUUUGUUGUUUGCUUUGAGAAAGAUGGGUUGUCGAUAUAGAAAGGGAAAGCACUAUCUAUUUGGUUGCACGAGGGCUCAUUGAGCGGCACACCCUAGUUUGCCUGUUUUGAUUAGGAAAAAUAGGCAUGUUUAUAGGGUUGUAGAAGUUGUCUAUUGGUAACACUUACAUACACAGGGGAUACAGAAGGAGACCAUGUGAAUUUAUAUGACCGACUAGAAGAGCAUGGUAACCAUUCAAUGUUGUAAUUGUGAGCUUGGGCUCACAUGAAUACUGCUAAAAUAUCCCGUGCUUCCUAAAUACUCGACUGAAUGUUGGUCCAUGGCCUUACGCGCAAUUGUUACAAGUUUGAAGUUCCAAGUGUGUUUGAUAAUCCAAGAAGCAUGCACUAACUUACAUUACCCUCACUGGAGAAGAGUCAUUUGUAGGCCAAGAAGCACAUGUCUCCUCCAUAAAGAGGAACCAAACACGGGUCCAUCUAGAGAAUCCAGAAUCACAUGGUUUGGAUCAGAUUCCAACUCCAAAAGGCGCCUGCGAACCAAAGUAUUUUUCUUCUAAAUGAACAAUGGCUUUCAACAAUUACAGAAGUUCAAGGAGUACCCACUCACAAUUAAACAAAACUAGCCAAAAAAAUGGUGCUUCAACUAGAUCUAGACACUACCGCAACUGGAGUAUUAGCUAGAAACAUCAUGGAUCCAACCAAAGAGAACUACACAGUUAGCAGUUGUCAAACAUCAGCCGCAAGCCAACUUCCAGCAACUUAGCAUCUUCCAGAAGUCCAUGAGAUGAGAAAGAAAAGCACUUUCGAAAGCAGUCCAAAAUGAGAAAAUGAGCAGGUGCCAGCCGUGUGCAAAACCAUACACCCCCCUUAACAGCUUCUCAAACGGCCUGUUUGAGAACCACGAACGUAUCUGGCAUGUUUCAGAACAGGCAAAGUAUCCACUACCCUGGUAUACAGACCUCGUGGUUGGUUUCCCCAUGUCUCUUUCUCUUACUCCUGCGCAUCGUCAAUGGGCAUAUACCGUUUCGAAUUUCAAUCUAUUCUUUCUUAUGCUUUUGUGGAUCGCCAUCACCAUUCACUAUAACAAAAUACUAGAAAUGAAGAGUUUGUACUGCCGAAAUGUAAAAUAUGGAUAAAUGAGGUGGAGUUUGUUGUUUGCUUUGACCAAGAUCGGUUGUCUAUAUAGUAAACGAAAGCACUAUCUAUGCAGUACAAAUGAAGGUUGGUGGUCCAUUUAUGUGCCACAACUUUAUUGUCCGUGUUGAAUGACUUAGGACACAUUUGGUUGCACGGGUGAAUUUAUAUGACCGGCAAGGAUAGCUGAGAAUCCAAUGUCGUAAUGGUGAGCUCGAUCGUGCUCACAUGAACACUGCUAAAAUGUACAUAUGUCCGGUGCUUCCUAAAUACUCGAGUGAAUGUUGGUCUCUGGCCUUAUGCACAAUCGUUGUCAUUUUGAAGUUCCAAGGGUGUUUGAUGGCCCAAGGAGGAUGCAUCAUUUGUAGGGCAAGAAACGCAUGUCUCCUCCACAGAAAGAAACCGAACGCGGGUCUAUCUGUCAGCAGAAUCCAGAAUCGCAAGGUUUGGAUCAGAUCCCAACUCCAAAAGGCACCUGGGAACCAAAGUAUAUUUUUGCUGAACAAGAUUGCACGCCAAAGUAUCAAACCAAAGACCUGAGCCAAAGCUAUGCUUUGCUUUCUCCCUUGAAGGUCGCCAAAGUUUCCAAGCCUGUGCAUUCAGGUUAUAAGAAUCACAACCUCAAUGGCAAGCUGCAUACCGAAAACCUCAAACCAACAUCAAAAAUGGCAAUGGGAGGAGGAUCGCAUUUGCAGGGACACCGGGCGCCGAGGCUGUUCGGCAGGGAAAGGCCGGUCCAUGCCGCCCUGGGUGGACGCGAAGGUGGCUAGCAAACUACUUACAUUCUUGCAGAGAUACGAGCCUAAGUUUUCUGAUUUCUGAACUGAUCAUGUGUGUGUUGCGUUGCAGCGGCGGACAUCAUCCUGUGGAGGAGGCCGAAGGUGUCGGCGUCGAUCCUCGGCGCGGCGACGGCGGCGUGGGGUCUGUUCGAGGUGGCGGAGUACCACUUCCUGACGCUGGCGUGCUACGCCGCCAUGAUUACCAUGCUCACCUUCUUCAUCUGGACCAACGCCUCCGCUUUCCUGAACCUGUACUGCACCAAACCCCAUUUCUUCAGUCCCACGGUUUUGUUUCAGAAUUAGCUUCAGGGCUGAAUUGUGAACUGCACACAGGCCGGUUCCAAGGAUCCCUGAGACAAUCCUGUCGGAGAGGACGGCGAAGCAGGUGAUCCUGGCCCUGCACAGGCGGCUCACCUGGUUCGUGCACCGGCUGUACGCCAUCGCCUGCGGGGAGGACAUCAAGAAGUUCAUCAUGGUAACCAACCCACCUCACAACAAUCCUGAUCUGAUCUAUGCCACAACUCUGAAGCCUGAUAAACUCAUACACACGCUACUGCAGACGGUGGUGUCUCUGUACAUCGCGUCGGUCGUCGCGACCUGCUUCAGCUCCCUCACCCUGCUCUACCUCGGUAAGCAACUGCCAACACCUUCAGUAGCAGAAACUCCCCAUUCUUCAGAAUCCAAUGUACUGAGCUAGCAACGAUGAUACCAUCUUUGUUUUGGCAGUUGUGUUCUUCACGAUGACGGUGCCGGCGCUGUACGAGCGGUACGAGCACGAGGUGGAGCACCUGGUGGCCACGGGGGCGCGCGACGUCCGUACCCACUUGGCCAAGGUGGACUCCGGCGUGCUCCGGAAGAUCCCCAGAGGCAAAGGCGCCACCACCGCCGCACACGGGACGACGGCCAACAACGUGCACGGGUGGCAUCGCUCGCACGUCAACUAAACCUACCCAGCCAACAACAUGCUACUACUAACCAACCUUUACAGAGAUCGAGCGAGCUGCGGACAGAUGUAAAUAUAAGUUCAGAAUAAGACCUGAACGAACCCAGCUAACUACAUGCUCAUCAAUCAGCACACUGUGCAGAGAGGGAGCUGCAGACAGAUGUAAAUUUAUAAGGUUCAGAACAAGACCUGAACGAACCAACAUAUGUUCAUCAAUCUGUACAGUACAUUACAGAGAGCGAGCCUGCAGAGAGAUGUGGAUUUAGGUUCAGAAUAAGACCUGAAUGUAAAGUGUUUCACUCCUACAUGAUCAUGCGUGCAUGCAUGCAUCCAAUCCGCCCGUGCGACCAGUGGUGUGGCGAUCCUGUAAAUCUCUCUACCAACGCAUGCGUGCGCUUUACGGUGGUGCGAUAUCUUCUUUCCAUCCUCCCCUGCUUCCUCCUUUCCGCUUUCCCGUGUACGCGUACCAGUGUAUGUAUCUGUUACGUGAUGGGUCGACCGCCAUGGAAAGGAAGGAAGAACACAAGGGCUCCACCAUUGAUGCAUGGUGGAUGGAGGAGGGCAGACAGCGACACGCACGCACCUGGCAAAGCCAUCGGCAUCGGACGGGUAGAGAUUAUAUUCCCUGGAGCUGAGGCAAUCAACAGUCGCCCGCGCCGUGUCUCCGCCCGGAUCGAAGACGAUCCGCUCCGAUCUCCCGAGGAUCGGAUCGGACGCCCCCUCGCGGCUAAAUUUCGUGUUUUGACCCUUUUCUAAUAUCUUUUCGAGAUCUGAUUCUAGUCUGACUAGUAAUCAUGCACGUCUCGAUCGUAAAACAUGUGAAUUCACAUAAUAUAAAAAAAUAAACGUUUUUAAAAUUAUAAAUCAAAUGGAUACAUAAUGUUUGAUAUCGCUCAAAUUGUAUUUUCAAAAGCGAGACACAAUAGUGGUUAUGUUGCUGCAUAGAGUAAUAAAAAUAUUCUCAUUUAAAUAAAAUCAGCAAUUAUUUAUUAAUGCAAUAAUAUAGGCAUGUAGUAUAGUCUUCUCUUCGAGUGUAGCCAGGGAAAAAAGUAUAAACUGCCUUACAGUGCAAUUAUAUUGUUCAAGAUGCUUAAUUCUCGAAUCUUAUUUUAUUCUACUAAUCUGCAUAGCAAAAUAUAUAUUUGUACUAAUUUGGAUCAAAUUAUAUAUAUUUUUUGGUUGUGUGGACUGCCAAAAUUAUAUAGCUACCUACUAUGGAUAAUAGGAAAUAGAAGAUGAUAUGUGUACAACGACUUCUAUAUAAAAUAAAGAUGAUUUACAAGAACUAAUUGAAAUGUAAAGGGGCUAAAAGAAAAUCCAAUGAUUAUCAUGAUAGAAAAAAUUUAUCCGGUUUUGUAUGUGUUUAUGCGUUGGCAACCAUACUAACUUACAAUGAUGUAAGACGUUUUGUACGUAUAGAAACUGAAAUGAGUUAUGAAGAAAAAUAAAGAUGGAAGGAAAAGUAUUCUAAAGUAUUUGUCAAGCUUAACCUUAUCAAGCUUUCAGGUCAGCUUCUAAAUUACAAAAAAAUGAUGAAUCCUCAAAUAAGAAAGAGCCAACAAUUUGGAACAUGCUACAAAACUGGUGAAUAUAGAAAGCAUUCAUCCUCUUUUUCCUUGUCGUAAGGAGUAGCUUCAGCAUACAUUUGUAACAGUGUAAUACCUGAUUCGGAAAAAGUUUUUCAUUAUUAUUAUUGAAGGAAAGAGGCGUGCAGACAAAGAAAGAGAGGCGGUGCAAAUAAGGCCUUAAACAGCAUGUCUUCGAGUUUGAUGACUGCAGAUAUGUUGGAUCAUUCGAAACUGCACAAGUAUAUAAGAAUAAAUAUAUGUGCCAAAAUAGCGAAAAAUAUUUGGUUUCUCUGUCAUGAAACAAAAUAAAUCCAACUAAGUACAGUUUAUAUGAUUUCUCUGUACCAAUAUACGGUAGCUGUAUUAGGACAGAUCCUUUGAAGGAUCUAUUUAUUGGAACUCAGCCGGAUUAGUUUCUUCAUUGGAUCCUUCUGUAUGGUAAAAUUCUCUUUAUUGAAACGCAGUAGAGAUUGCAUACCUUUACAGAACAGCGAGAGAUAUUCUCUAACAACAGUUACGGAGUCAUGUGACCCGUUUUAGAUGUAUAGAAUCAUGUAACUGAAAUAGUAGUACAUCUUCAAUAUCUUGCCUCCUACUGAAUCUUACAUAAUUUACUGGAUUGCUAUGCAAUUAUGUUAAAGUGACGUGUGUAAAGUUUUCUCUAAGAAUGAAUCAUAUAUUCUGAUUUCCAACCUAUCCCUGGAGAUAGUGCAUAGGCAGGUGCAACCCACCUUAAUUUCAGAUAAAGCAACGUCAUAUGUAAAACACACACUGAUCAAAUAGCACAAAUAAGGCAAUUCUAAUCAAGGGGAUGGCGUUAUCUCUUGAUACGGUCCAGUUUAAUGCAUAUGGUGGUACGAAGUAAAGCACAACGAAGCCGACAUGAACAUGAGAAGUAAUCAUGGAAAAUAGACUCUGUAUCUUGACUUCUUCAGUAUCCCUCUUGAUCCUACUUUGUAAGACAAGAUUGCUGCAUUUUUAUGUACGUGCCAUAUAUAAUUACACAUUUUCAGUACAGCAAUCGGCAACCUAAGAUAAUCCCAAAUCUAUAAUUCUAGAUUGCUUGAAGCCACACGAUUCUUAUUCAAUAUGUAAUGCACAUGCACCCACUGAACAGACACUUUGUCGGCGUGGGUGCUGUGAACGGAGCUGAAGUCAACGCGGAUGCCGAUGGUUGCCGGAGAGCAUGCCCUGGACUUGGAUGGAGUCGUCGCAGUAGCGGCAGAAGAGCGCCUGGCCUCCAGCCAGAAGACGAUGGCGGCGAUAGCACGUGUGUUCCCGGAGGAAGACGAAGCUCCUCGCGCUUCCCCCAUCGUGGCUAGCGUGCAUGAUGGCGGCAGGCGGCUCGCGAUUAGCUUUCUAAUAGGAUGGAUGCGUCCGAUAUAAGUUUUUUAAUAGGAUGGAUUUUUCUGAAAUUAGUUUCCUAAUAGGAUGGAUGCACUCUGAUUUAGUUUCCUAGAAUAUGAUGCACUCGUGAUUAUUAGUUUCUUAAUUGCUCAGGCGUGGAGUUUCAUAUUUUCCUCCACGGUGGAGUACGGUCAGUCAAUGUAAAUUGCUAAGUGCACACAGAAAAUGGUUUAGGUUAAGGCUAAUCGUUAGAUUGAUUUUAGUGGGCCUAAUCGUGCGGUGGUAUUGAAUCUGUGUAUGCUUUGUGAGGUGUACUUAAAUAAAUUUUUGUUUGAUUGUUUAAUAGUAGUAUAGAUAAGACAAGAUUGCUGCAUUCUUAUGUACGUGCCAUAUAUAAUUACACAUUUUCAGUACAGCAAGCGGCAACCUCAGAUAAUCCCAAAUCUAUAAUUCUAGAUUGCUUGAAGUCCCACGAUUCUUAUUUAAUAUGUAAUGCACAUGCACCCACUGAACAGACACUUUGUCGGCGUGGGUGCUGCGAACGGAGCUGAAGUCAACGCGGAUGCCGAUGGUUGCCGGAGAGCAUGCCCUGGACGUGGAUGGAGUCGUCGCAGUAGCGGCAGAAGAGCGCCUGGCCUCCAGGCAGAAGACGAUGGCGGCGAUAGCACGUGUGUUCCCGGAGGAAGACGAAGCUCCUCGCGCUUCCCCCAUCGUGGCUAGCGUGUAUGAUGGCGGCAGGCGGCUCGCGAUUAGCUUUCUAAUAGGAUGGAUGCGUCCGAUAUAAGUUUUUUAAUAGGAUGGAUUUGUCUGAGAUUAGUUUCCUAAUAGGAUGGAUGCACUCUGAUUUAGUUUCCUAGAAUAUGAUGCACUCGUGAUUAUUAGUUUCUUAAUUGCUCAGGCGUGGAGUUUCAUAUUUUCCUCCACGGUGGAGUACGGUCAGUCAAUGUAAAUUGCUAAGUGCACACAGAAAAUGGUUUAGGUUAAGGCUAAUCGUUAGAUUGAUUUUAGUGGGCCUAAUCGUGCGGUGGUAUUGGAUCUGUGUAUGCUUUGUGAGGUGUACUUAAAUAAAUUUUUGUUUGAUUGUUUAAUAGUAGUAUAGAUAAGACAAGAUUGCUGCAUUCUUAUGUACGUGCCAUAUAUAAUUACACAUUUUCAGUACAGCAAGCGGCAACCUCAGAUAAUCCCAAAUCUAUAAUUCUAGAUUGCUUGAAGUCCCACGAUUCUUAUUUAAUAUGUAAUGCACAUGCACCCACUGAACAGACACUUUGUCGGCGUGGGUGCUGCGAACGGAGCUGAAGUCAACGCGGAUGCCGAUGGUUGCCGGAGAGCAUGCCCUGGACGUGGAUGGAGUCGUCGCAGUAGCGGCAGAAGAGCGCCUGGCCUCCAGGCAGAAGACGAUGGCGGCGAUAGCACGUGUGUUCCCGGAGGAAGACGAAGCUCCUCGCGCUUCCCCCAUCGUGGCUAGCGUGUAUGAUGGCGGCAGGCGGCUCGCGAUUAGCUUUCUAAUAGGAUGGAUGCGUCCGAUAUAAGUUUUUUAAUAGGAUGGAUUUGUCUGAGAUUAGUUUCCUAAUAGGAUGGAUGCACUCUGAUUUAGUUUCCUAGAAUAGGAUGCACCCGUGAUUAUUAGUUUCCUAAUUGCUCAGGCGUGGAGUUUCAUAUUUUCCUCCACGGUGGAGUACGGUCAGUCAAUGUAAAUUGCUAAGUGCACACAGAAAAUAGUUUAGGUUAAGGCUAAUCGUUAGAUUGAUUUUAGUGGGCCUAAUCGUGCGGUGCUAUUGGAUCUGUGUACGCUUUGUGGGGUGUGCUUAAAGAAAUUUUUGUUUGAUUGUUUAAUAGUAGUAUAGAUAAGACAAGAUUGCUGCAUUCUUAUGUAUGUGCCAUAUAUAAUUACACAUUUUCAGUACAGCAAGCGGCAACCUAAGAUAAUCCCAAAUCUAUAAUUCUAGAUUGCUUGAAGCCCCACGAUUCUUAUUUAAUAUGUAAUGCACAUGCACCCACUGAAUAGACACUUUGUCGGCGUGGGUGCUGCGAACAGAGCUGAAGUCAACGUGGAUGCCGAUGAUUGCCGGAGAGCAUGCCCUGGACAUGGAUGGAGUCAUCGCAGUAGCGGCAGAAGAGCGCCUGGCCUCCAGGCAGAAGACGAUGGCGGCGAUAGCACGUGUGUUCCCGGAGGAAGACGAAGCUCCUCGCGCUUCCCCCAUCAUGGCUAGCGUGCAUGAUGGCGGCAGGCGGCUCGCGAUUAGCUUUCUAAUAGGAUAGAUGCGUCCGAUAUUAGUUUUUUAAUAGGAUGGAUUUGUUUGAGAUUAGUUUUCUAAUAGGAUGGAUGCACUCUGGUUUAGUUUCCUAGAAUAGGAUGCACCCGUGAUUAUUAGUUUCCUAAUUGCUCAGGCGUGGAGUUUCAUAUUUUCCUCCACGGUGGAGUAAGGUCAGCCAAUGUAAAUUGCUAAGUGCACACAGAAAAUGGUUUAGGUUAAGGCUAUUCGUUAAAUUGAUUUUAGUGGGCCUAAUCGUGCGGUGGUAUUGGAUCUGUGUAUGCUUUGUGGGAUGUGCUUAAAGAAAUUUUUGUUUGAUUGUUUAAUAGUAGUAUAGAUAAGACAAGAUUGUUGCAUUCUUAUGUACGUGCCAUAUAUAAUUACACAUUUUCAGUACAGCAAGCGGCAACCUAAGAUAAUCCCAAAUCUAUAAUUCUAGAUUGCUUGAAGCCCCGCGAUUCUUAUUUAAUAUGUAAUGCACAUGCACCCACUGAACAGACACUUUGUCGACAUGGGUGCUGCGAACGGAGCUGAAGUCAACGCGGAUGCCGAUGGUUGCCGGAGAGCAUGCCCUGGACGUGGAUGGAGUCGUCGCAGUAGCGGCAGAAGAGCGCCUGGCCUCCAGGCAGAAGACGAUGGCGGCGAUAGCACGUGUGUUCCUGGAGGAAGACGAAGCUCCUCGCGCUUCCCCCAUCGUGGCUAGCGUGCAUGAUGGCGGCAGGCGGCUCGCGAUUAGCUUUCUAAUAGGAUGGAUGCGUCCGAUAUAAGUUUUUCAAUAGGAUGGAUUUGUCUGAGAUUAGUUUCCUAAUAGGAUGGAUGCCUUUGAUUUAGUUCCUAGAAUAGGAUGUACCCGUGAUUAUUAGUUUCCUAAUUGCUCAGGCGUGGAGUUUCAUAUUUCCUCCAGGGUGGAUUACGGUCAGUCAAUGUAAAUUGCUAAGUGCACACAGAAAAUGGUUUAGGUUAAGGCUAUUCGUUAGAUUGAUUUUAGUGGGCCUAAUCAUGUAAUGGUAUUGGAUCUAUGUACGCUUUGUGGGGUGUGCUUAAAGAAAUUCUUGUUUGAUUGUUUAAUAAUAGUAUAGAUAAAAUUUCGAGAUAUGACCUUUUUGCUACCGCCAAGGUCCAUGGCGGUAGGGUUUAACAGCCUACCGCCAAGGUCCCUGGCGGUAGGGUUACAUGCCCUACCACAAAAUCUUUUAAGUGUUAAACACAAUGCGUGCUUGUGCCUACCGCCAAGCACCUUGACAGUAGGAUUAUACAGACUACUGCUAGUAUGUUUGGCGGUAGGGAUGUUUCCUAAAGCCAAGGUCCAUGGCAGUAGGUUGUUACACCCUACCGCCAUGGACCCUGACGGUAACAAAAGGGUCAGAUCUUGAAAAACUAAGAUCAUUUUACCACCCCCACCCACUUCCUCCCGGUCACUGUCCAUCCAAUACCUAUCUUAAUUAACCUUCUGCGUCAUGCGUCGACAGAUAUCGUAGUAAAAGAAACGGAGAUGGCAACACUGACAAGCGACACAUCGAUCGAUCCAUCGCUCGGCCGUGCAUGCGCCGGCGAUCGCGCAGGCAGACUCGAGAGGCUCAGCAUGCAGACAUGGGGACAUGGAGUGGGUAGCAGCAGUGCGGCAGUACGUUUACACUGUGCUGACCCACGACGGGUCUGGGGCUCGAGUGGAGAGCUGUUCGUCAGCUCCGCUUUGCCGUGGCUUGUCUCGUCGACCCUUUUGCGCGCGCGCACAGUUACAGUUCAAGGGUUUCCACGGCCCAAAUAAUUGCGCGUUCCGUGGAACGUUUCCAAGUCGAUGAAAACGAAAGCGGGGUUAAUUACUUGGUGCUUAUCAGGUCUCGGUAGAUAUUUUUCUUUUCUUUGGAUUUUUGCGCAUAUGGAAUCAGCCUGUCUGCUUCAGUGUGUUGGUCUAUUGGGCCGCUAACCAACCCCGGCCAUCGCGUGCGUGUUAGGUUAGGCCGCCGGAGGCCCGGCCCGGACAGUCGGUCAACGUGCGCACGGAGACGGCGACAGGCGGGCGCACGCAGUUGGUUACUGGCGGGGUCGCCGUCGACGGCCGGCCGGCGAGGAGCCGAAGUCCGACCUCGCGUUCGCGUGCGUAGGUGCGUGCCACCGGGCUGAGCGAGACUGGAGGAGGACAAAGGCUGACCGAACAACGAGGGUUUGUUGGUGGGAGAACGUGCGCUACGGUCUGAACGAAAGCGAGGUGCCGCACUCGAACGCGGUUCGGCGGAGACACGCUGUCGGUAAGCAAGCAGGGACUGCGUGGGACGAGGAGGCUGCUGGACGUCGCUGUGCGCCGGGGAGGAGCGGUGGCGUGCCGGCGGCAGCGAGACCGGCCACAUGGCGCUGCGCCCGGCCGGACGGGCGGGGGACAUGCGCGCGCCCGUUGGGCCUUUCGGGGGGCCAAAAGAACAACGGGGGAGGAGAUUUCGGAUGGGGCGGCUGUGCGGCCGAGGCGCCGUCCGCCCCGUUCAUGCGGGAGCAGAGAAUCCAUCUCAUUUCCACCGUGACGCCUGGCCUGGGGGCUGGGGCUGGUGCACUGGUGGUACGUGCUGGGGGGCGCACGUGGCGGACCGGGCCGUCCUCGCCGUCGUGGCCGCGGCAGAGGGUCGGGCACGGGCACGGCCAGGCCCACGUGCAACUGUGCCACCCCCACUCCCAUUGGGUCUGGGCAUCCGGCCAGCUCGGACUGCGUACCGGCCUACCGCCAUGCCAGGGCCCGUGCUCCCUCCGCCGGCGCCACUUGCGCCGGGCCGGUGCCACCCGCCACCCCCAUCCGCGCGGAUCCCGAGGCAGGCUGACUCAGCCUCUCCUUCCCGGCGGCCCCAGACCGGAUCGGAUCCAACGCCCACGCCCCUAUCCGACUAGGAUCGCCGGACCUAGUGAAGAACCCACCAUGAUCUACUAUCUAAUAUGACAGCGUGCACAGUGCAUGGUAUGGACUGCAAAUUGAUGCUAAAGCCGUUCUUCUUGGCUCCAAAGCGUACGUACGAGCCAUGCCACCAAAUUAUUGGUAUGAUCCCAACACACACACACACACACACACACACACACACACACAAUAAGAUAAGAAAAGUAGGGCAAGUUGGGGGGAAGAUUAGUUAGUGGGUAAAGAAUGAGCUUUGCCUGGCGCCCAGAAGAGAACCCUUUGAAUACAACGCAAACACAGCCGUAAAGCGGCGUUGCUGCCCUGUUGCCGGUGCUGUAUUACCAUCAUUCUGUUGCGCCAAACCCUUUGUUUACACCGCACACUUUGCUUGCCCUUCUCCCACUGAUUGCCGUGCACUUGUGCAUGCCCAGGAGGGGUGUUUCAGUUCCAGCGUUCUCGACUCCAACACCACGACACUCCAACNNNNNNNNNNNNNNNNNNNNNNNNNNNNNNNNNNNNNNNNNNNNNNNNNNNNNNNNNNNNNNNNNNNNNNNNNNNNNNNNNNNNNNNNNNNNNNNNNNNNNNNNNNNNNNNNNNNNNNNNNNNNNNNNNNNNNNNNNNNNNNNNNNNNNNNNNNNNNNNNNNNNNNNNNNNNNNNNNNNNNNNNNNNNNNNNNNNNNNNNNNNNNNNNNNNNNNNNNNNNNNNNNNNNNNNNNNNNNNNNNNNNNNNNNNNNNNNNNNNNNNNNNNNNNNNNNNNNNNNNNNNNNNNNNNNNNNNNNNNNNNNNNNNNNNNNNNNNNNNNNNNNNNNNNNNNNNNNNNNNNNNNNNNNNNNNNNNNNNNNNNNNNNNNNNNNNNNNNNUAAAGCGCCGGCCUCCACUCGCGCCACCGGAGAGGAAUAAGAUCCCCGGCAGAUCGCAUCGGCAGUACCGCCUACUCGAGUGCCUAGGAAAAGAGCGCGCCGGUGCUUCCGAUCAUGCCAGAUUUCAGUCCACCAAUGAACAAAGAAGGCAACUUGCAGGUUAAACUAAACCCAAACAGUUUGCUGGGGUUCUGCAUACCAGGUAUGCUAGUUUAGAACUUCAGUCUUCAGAUUAGAUGUAUGUGUGGCUGGUGAAGCUCACUGGAAACGGAAGCUCUAACCCCGGCUGAAUUGGUUGGUCAGUCACAUCCACAUAUAACUAUCCACAUAACUAAGCCCAACAAACAUGAUCUAAAGAAAAACAUCUCUUCUCCUUGGCUCAGCACCAGGAAAAGAAUCCACUCCAACAACCAUGUCAAAGCAAAUCCAUCGGCGAAAACCUACAGGCAUGAUAACACUACUACCUCCGUCUCAGUGAAUAAGUCCAUCGGCAAAGACCUAGAACUACGCGAAUGACUUAUUCACCUAGACGGAGGUAGUACCAGGCAUGAUAACACUACCGGAUCCUACAAUUAUUUGCUAGUCAUCCUGGCAUAUAUAGAGCGCGCUAAAAGAAGAAUAUCUAGAAUUGUCAAACUGUGACGCCACGCUUGUAUGUCGAUCCAAAUGUAGUUGGAUGCUUGAAGCAAAAGGAAACACGCACACGAGCACGGGACAAGGGUGUAUUAAAAACCAGAAGAAAAUGUAUCGACAUCAAUAUCAAUAAUGGUACAAAAAUAUGGGACAAAGGGUGUAUGAUGAUAUUUAACUCGGGAUCAAGUUUCUACAAGGCAAGCUAAAUAAUAAACACAUAUCUGACAUUUCAACCUCGGUACCAUCCAUGAGUUUUAAAUAUACAGAGGGGCUACACAAAUGAUGAGUUCUCGAUUCGGAAGUUUUUACUGAGCUUUUUAGACAACUAUAUAUUUAUUCAAAAAUUAAGACAAGCAAUUGGAACUGUAAUCCAACACUUCAUUCACAGGCCUUCCUUCCACCCCCAGCUUGCUGCAACAUCGGCAAAUGGACUCUCCAGGACCAAAUCAGAAACUCCCCCUCAGGCUCGGCAACACAGGGACGAACAUAGUACCGGUUUGAUCUUAUUUUGGACCCCCACCCCUAAUCACAAGUCCAGAUGCAUGCUUGAUUUGAUCCCGAAUGCACAGCUGACCAAUCACAAUAUCCAAUGUUUGCCAUCGACUUGCGCAACUUGUAAUAACAAUAAUGAUAAGUAACAGCAGGAUUACCUCUAGGAUACGCAGCAUAACAGAAUUCACCAAUCCUUCG